CCCAUUUCAGGUCCUGUUCGAUGGUGAGCAUGAUUUGGAGAGACAUGGUGGCCAUCCACCAAAUUACCAUGCCCCGGAGGAAUAUUCAUGCCAGGACCAUCCACCAAGUAAUGAUCGUUCAAUCUUCCAGCUCCAGACAUAUGAGUUCUUGCUUCCUCAAUCCUCGGAUUCAACUGAUGCUGCAAAACCCAUCCUCUUUCAUGACAGUGACUUUCAUUAUACACCGAUCGGCUGUCAUUAUCUUUAGGGUACAUACCAGGCAACUUUGCUUCAGCAUUCAAUACUAAAUUCUCCCUGUUUUGGCGGCAUUCAGCACAUGAAAGAGGUACCUGGGGAAGCCCAUUGCCUAUGUUGGGUUGAUCCAAGUGCAAUUGAUUUCUGUGGUAAGUGAGCCUGCAGUGCUCACAUAAACCAUUCCCAUCAAAAACAUUAUGGCCAUGAAAUAAAUUACCAGGAAAACCACUCUUGUCUCCAGAAACAUUUCCAGGUGGCAUCCAUAUUAAAUUUUCAGAAAAUUGAGGCUGAGGUUCAUAUGUGGGAUGAUGAUUUACAUGCUGCCUCGCAUAUUCUUCAGGAACUCUCUCCUCUCCAAAUGGCAUGCGGAACCGGGCAGAAGAAGGUGAAGAUGGAAACUCUGGCAACGGUCUAGGAGGAUCGUGAUGCCCAUAAUGCCUAGGAGAAUAAUAUGCAGGACUCCACGGACCUUCCAUUUCAUUAUACCUCUGAGAAACAGGCUGUUGCUGCUGCCCUGAAUUCAUAUGAGGAACUGUAAGCUGAUGAAGAUUAUACUGUGGUUGGUUAUGAAUGCCACCCUCAAGACUCAUUGUGUUAAAGAACCGCUCAGCCAUAUGGAUGUCAUCAAUUGAACUAAUCACUGGAGAGUCAGGAUGUUGCAACUUCCUAAAAUCAUUACCAUCGUUCAUAUUAUUCAGUGCAUCCACAUACCUCCUCUCUGACUCACGGUCAUCCCCAUCAACAUAGUGAUUUGAACCAUCUUGGUCCGAAUGUGAAAACAGAAAAAUCCUCAAUCUUGUAAAACCAUCACCUGAGCCCAACUUCUCAUACUCUUCCAUCAUGUUAAUCACAUCAUCAUCAUUCACAACCGACACCAGAGCAUCAAGAUCCUCAUCUGGUUGUUGGUACUUCAACACCACUGCUCCCUCAUAAAGUUCCCUCAUCCUACUCAUCAACUCCUCAUAGGUCACAUCUCUUGGCAAGCUCACAAUUCGCGUCUCUCCACCCACAUACCGCAAUUUCCCAUCUUGGGGUCGAGGCAAAAUUCUCCCUAAGAAGCUACACAAGAACUUUACACGAGGGACAUCAUCAUUGGAACCAGCGGUUGAACCCGAACCAGGCACGUUAGGAGACGGAGAAUCCAUCAGGUGUACAGCCUUGGUGACCGGUUUGCUGAUAAUCGAUUGUGCUCGGAGUGUAAUAAAGAUUGGCUCAAGAAUCCAAUAUCUUUAUUACACAUGGAGUGCAUAAAACUCACACAACUAUGCUCAUAAGCUUGGCAAUUUCCGCCCAAAACUCAAAGGCACAAUACAAGAGUUUCUCAUUGUGUCUACAUUUAGCAAAGCAAAUGAACAAAUUAUCCAUAUAUGAACUCAUCAAAAGUGCCAAAAAACCAUCAAAUGUUCAGAAAAAAAAAUUAGAAAAAAGCAUACCCAGAUAAAAACACUCAAUUUUUUAAUCAAAACUAAGCAUAAAGACAACUCAUCCUUCAAUCCUGAAUCAAGAAUUCAACAAAACAACCCCAAAGUUGCCGAUUUAGAAAUUAAAAAAGAUGGAGUCUUUAAUAAAUAAGAGUACCUGAAAUGAGACAAGCCCAAUUCAAGAUUCUUCUUUUCUUAUCAAUAAAUUAUGAUAAAAGGGUGGUGUUGUGAUUAAAAGGAGACGCAGAUGAAGAAAGAAGAAGAGUCUGGUUGUGUUAUGUUCUUGGGGGUGCGAAUGCAAAAAUGCAAAGAUGCGAUGCCUGUGCGCCAGGUAGCGUCACACGUGGCACUAGCUGGUUUUUCCGUUCUCCUCAGCAUCUUUCUAUUUAUCAUCUUCAUUUUCGAAUAUGCCAUCUUAUUCUAAAAUCCCAUCACCCGUGGAUUAAAAUUUAAAAAUGACUUUUGUAAAUUAAAAAAUACAAAAAAUGAAUUUUCGGAUAAUAAUAUUCGGAUUCUUGAGUUUUAAUAAAAACACAAAUAAUUGUAUAUUUAUAUUCUUUUAUUCAAUUCCCUCUCCGCUCGUAAAAUUCUAAUGCUCUAAUUACAUUGAAUAUUAUUUCCUUAAAAUUUUAUAAUAUAUGGGAUGUUAAAUUAAUUGAGAUAAAUUAUCAAAAUUAUUCUUUAAUUGAAUUGUUAACACAAGUUUAUGUUCACCGGAUAGUUGAGAUAUAUUAGAAUGCAAUUUAGUUAAGUUCCAUAGGAAGAUACGCUUCGACCUCAAUCUUGAUGCAAAGAGGUGAUAACCACCAUUUAGAAGAACAAGUCAAGGAAAUGGGUGCUCCUAAGAACUAAGAUAGGGCCCUUUGUCAACAAAACAAUUUAUUAUGUCUCUAAUUUUUAAUUCCGUAAAAGCUUAAGGGGUCAGUUGUUAUGUCCCAUACGAAGAUUUGUUGUUGAAAAUAUUUUUUAUUUUAUCGGUUUUUUUUUAUUGUAACUUUAAUUAAAAUAUCCGUUGUUAGUUUUUAAGUUUAUGGAAAAUAGAACAUGUUCUUGACUUGUUGUGUUACAUUCAUUGCAUAGGGCUGUAAUAUAGAAGCUUUAGACCUUCAAAAUAUAUCCUUUCAAAUUUCAUCUUAGGUGAUGUGAAGAUAAUUUUUCAUAAUUUUUAAGUAAAUUAAUUACCUUAUCUCCUUAUAUACUUGAUAAAUUUUUGGAUGUGCCUCACUAUCUUUUAUUUAUUUAUUAGAUAUUUUUAUUUUACCACUUGAUUUUUUUGAUAUAUUAUUUUACUACCGAAGUUUUCUAACACUUACUCUUUUGCAUUUAAUGUUUUAGUUUUCAACAUUUUAUCAUUAAACCAUUAACUCCAUUAAUAAAAUAUUGAUGUGACUAGGGUAUUUUAGAAAUUAGCAUAAAACUCACACAACUAUGCUCAUAAGCUUGGCAAUUUCCGCCCAAAACUCAAAGGCACAAUACAAGAGUUUCUCAUUGUGUCUACAUUUAGCAAAGCAAAUGAACAAAUUAUCCAUAUAUGAACUCAUCAAAAGUGCCAAAAAACCAUCAAAUGUUCAGAAAAAAAAAUUAGAAAAAAGCAUACCCAGAUAAAAACACUCAAUUUUUUAAUCAAAACUAAGCAUAAAGACAACUCAUCCUUCAAUCCUGAAUCAAGAAUUCAACAAAACAACCCCAAAGUUGCCGAUUUAGAAAUUAAAAAAGAUGGAGUCUUUAAUAAAUAAGAGUACCUGAAAUGAGACAAGCCCAAUUCAAGAUUCUUCUUUUCUUAUCAAUAAAUUAUGAUAAAAGGGUGGUGUUGUGAUUAAAAGGAGACGCAGAUGAAGAAAGAAGAAGAGUCUGGUUGUGUUAUGUUCUUGGGGGUGCGAAUGCAAAAAUGCAAAGAUGCGAUGCCUGUGCGCCAGGUAGCGUCACACGUGGCACUAGCUGGUUUUUCCGUUCUCCUCAGCAUCUUUCUAUUUAUCAUCUUCAUUUUCGAAUAUGCCAUCUUAUUCUAAAAUCCCAUCACCCGUGGAUUAAAAUUUAAAAAUGACUUUUGUAAAUUAAAAAAUACAAAAAAUGAAUUUUCGGAUAAUAAUAUUCGGAUUCUUGAGUUUUAAUAAAAACACAAAUAAUUGUAUAUUUAUAUUCUUUUAUUCAAUUCCCUCUCCGCUCGUAAAAUUCUAAUGCUCUAAUUACAUUGAAUAUUAUUUCCUUAAAAUUUUAUAAUAUAUGGGAUGUUAAAUUAAUUGAGAUAAAUUAUCAAAAUUAUUCUUUAAUUGAAUUGUUAACACAAGUUUAUGUUCACCGGAUAGUUGAGAUAUAUUAGAAUGCAAUUUAGUUAAGUUCCAUAGGAAGAUACGCUUCGACCUCAAUCUUGAUGCAAAGAGGUGAUAACCACCAUUUAGAAGAACAAGUCAAGGAAAUGGGUGCUCCUAAGAACUAAGAUAGGGCCCUUUGUCAACAAAACAAUUUAUUAUGUCUCUAAUUUUUAAUUCCGUAAAAGCUUAAGGGGUCAGUUGUUAUGUCCCAUACGAAGAUUUGUUGUUGAAAAUAUUUUUUAUUUUAUCGGUUUUUUUUUAUUGUAACUUUAAUUAAAAUAUCCGUUGUUAGUUUUUAAGUUUAUGGAAAAUAGAACAUGUUCUUGACUUGUUGUGUUACAUUCAUUGCAUAGGGCUGUAAUAUAGAAGCUUUAGACCUUCAAAAUAUAUCCUUUCAAAUUUCAUCUUAGGUGAUGUGAAGAUAAUUUUUCAUAAUUUUUAAGUAAAUUAAUUACCUUAUCUCCUUAUAUACUUGAUAAAUUUUUGGAUGUGCCUCACUAUCUUUUAUUUAUUUAUUAGAUAUUUUUAUUUUACCACUUGAUUUUUUUGAUAUAUUAUUUUACUACCGAAGUUUUCUAACACUUACUCUUUUGCAUUUAAUGUUUUAGUUUUCAACAUUUUAUCAUUAAACCAUUAACUCCAUUAAUAAAAUAUUGAUGUGACUAGGGUAUUUUAGAAAUUAUAGUAUAUUUAGUAUUUUAAGAAUUUCACGAGGUAUAAUAUUUGUAAUUUUAUCAAUUGAUUCUUUUAUAACUGAUGAAAGUAAUGUUUCUUUAUACAUAAUUAAUUUUGUAUUUUUAAUUUAGAGAUUAAAUUACAAUUACACAUUUUAGAUGUAAAAUAGAUUUUUAUUACAAUUUUCAUUAAAAUUGAAUUAACUUUAACGGUUUAGUAAUAAAUAAUAAAAAUUGAAAUAUUAAAUGGGAAAAAAUAAUUAAUCAGAAAAUAUUAUGUGGUAAAAUAAUAAUAUUCCUUUAUUAAUUUUUAUAUUUAGAAAACUGUUUGAUUUUGCAUAGAAUUAUGAGUUAUUUCUGUUACUAAAAUAACCAUAUUAUCUAAUCAAUAUACAGUUUAGCUUUUAUAAAAAAAUGAAUUGUUAUCAAAUAAAAGCAAACAAAUAAAUAUGUCGAAUUAAGAUGGGUACAUAGUAGUUAAAUCGCAAUACUUUGUUGUAUAAUAAUAAUAAUAAUAAGAAGUUGAAAAAAUUUAGACAUAUUAUGUGAAUUAAAUAAUAUAGAUGGAUAAGAUUAGGCAUCCAAUCACAGUAAUAGUUUUUUUUCCCCAAGAUUGGACAACUGCACAAAUCUGAUCUCGUUUUAUAGAAAAGGAGAAAUCGAAAUUUUAUUUUAGAAGACACAUUUAUAAUUUGGCAAGUGAUAAGUUACGGUUAAUGUAACUUACACAAUUCAUCUCAGCUAUAUAAAAUUAUAAGAUUCAUAAUUUAUGUGGUUAAGAUGAGUUGUGUAUGUUACAUUAAAUGUAACAUAAAGACACCCUUAUAAUUUAUUUAUUUUGAAAAAUGAAAAUAUAAUUUGAUAGAUGGCGACGUGGCGUCAUAUAAAUUUGCGGAGCAGUGAUGGAGCAAAAGCCCAAGCGCUGGCAGUGAGCUUCACUUUCUCGUGCCAGAAGAUUAUAUAGCCAAUAAUUAGGUGACAGAUGGCACAAGAUCAAAAACGAUCAGUUAAGACCCGAAUGCACGCAAGUAUGCCCGGGCCUUUCACUUUUGUCAUUUACUUUUACGUAAUUAAUAAUAAUAUAAUGCUUUUGUUUUUGUUUUUUAUUUAAUAUAAUGCUUUUGUUUGUUCUAUUACAUAGUAGUUUGUUUUUCUUUCCCAAUUUCUAGAUUACAUUUGUUGUAAUUUAAUAACAUAAAAGUGGACACUUGGCCAAUCUUUUUUUUACCUUAUUUUUAACGGUAGUAAGUUAGAUUAAAUAUGUCUUCAAAAAACCUUUUUCUUUUAUUCUUGUCAAUUGAGUUCGUUGACCUUAAUUGGUUUAUGUGGGCUACAUUUAGUAAGAUUUGGUCCUUAGAUAAUUGUUUAGCCUAAUAGAUCUAGUUGAGUUAGGGUUUUUGCAUCCACAGAACACAUUCGUACUUUACACUUAGUGGGCCGUUAGCCCUCAUGAAGAGGUCCAAGCCUAUUAUCCCACGUCGACUUAAAGAAGUGUACUGCCCCAAUCAAUUGCCCUCGUUUUUUUAAUAAAGAAAACCUUAUUUACGAUGCUAGAUAAUUUCAUUGAAAAUGAUGUCAUGAAGUUGAGUGAACUGUGAGAUAAUGUAAUAUUAACGAUGAGCCAAAUUCACCUUUAAAUAUGAGGCUUCAAAGAAAAUCCUGCCCACAGCAUUAUUACUUUCAUGAAAAUGUUUGAUCGAUGCAACCUUUGCAACGCGAUGUGUAUAAUUAUAAUACAACUACCCGCUAGUCCAAUAAUUGCUUAAUCUGCGUUUCAUUGAUGGUAUGUUUGCAUUGUGAUUCGAAAGAAUUUUUUACUGAAUGAUUAAUUAGAAAAUGGAAAUAUCAAUGAAUAGCUUAUUUCAAUUGAAAAUGGAAAUAUCAAUGCCGAUCUUUUUGAAGCUUUUAAACUCUAGUUAAUUUCUAUCACACCGUGGCCAACUGGCCAUGCAAUUAAUUUUAUCAUCUCUACCUUUAUUUCUCUUCUAUCAAUUUUUUUUUAAAAAAAAAGUUAAUGCAUUGUAAUUUGUAUUCCACAUGAGUAGUUCUAAAUUUUUUUACCCCAAAAAAUUAUGGUAAAUAAAAAAUUAUUUUAUAAUGAUGUGACAAUCAUCAAUUGAUUAAUAAAAUAAUACAAUUAAUUCACUUAAAUUUUAUAAAAAAUUACCCAUUACUCAAUGAAUGACACAUCACUUGAGAUUAGAUUUGGGAUAAAAGAAAUUUAAGAUGUAAACUUUUUACAAGGCAGUUUGAUUCUUUUGAGAUUCGUCAUUUAUGAGACCAAGAAGACGAAAGAAAAAAACAAAAAGAGUAAAAAAAACUGUACGAAACAGUAAACAUUUUUACAUUGUCAGGGAGCAAGUUUGAUUUGAACCUGGCAGCAGAUACCCUAUGCCAAAGCUUGUGCCAUUAUUGAUCGCUGAGAUACCUGUUGCUCGUAAAGCUCACGGAAAAUAUGAUAUUUUGCAUCAUGAUACUUCUUCACCUUUGGGUCUUUUGAUGGGUGUAUAACCUGCGCAUAUUCAAGUAUAUGUGAAAAUAGAAAUAUAUGCCAGGGAUAUCAACUUUUUGCUUAAAAGAAGCCAACAUGAAUGACUCUGGGAACAUAUACAAUGAACACCAAUUUCGGAAAAUGUUCAUCUGAUAUUAUUAAGUAAUCAUGCAGAGGCAAUAUGGGGCUCAGCACAGGUAAUACUAUUAUGACUAAUUACUUUUCAUGCUAAAGAAACCUACAGUCCGCAAAUGGGAAUCAAAGGGCAUCGAGUUACAUGGACCAUCAAGUAUUUCUCAAAAGAAAAGUCAAAAUCUUAGGGAUGAUGUUGGUGCGAGAUGAGGGUGGAAAAUCCAUAAUUGCUCACAAGAUUCCAUAUAUUCCUAACAUUGAGCCCCACCAAUGAACACAGAAGCAAAAACUUUUUAAUGCAAUGUAUGUUAUCAUAAGUCUACCAGUGGGGAAAUGUCUUAGUUAAUUAUUGGUAGGAAACGCCAUACUGGCUUGCCUCCAGGAACAAAAAUGAGUAAAAAAAGCACAGGAUCAACUGGCAAAUUUUUGCUUCUUUGUCUCUUGUAAUAUAUACUAGAUACAAAUAUGUUAGAAGGUAAAAACCGACUGUCAUACAUACCUGACCAGCUGCAUUCAUUGCCUUCAUGGCCUCAAUGAGACUAGAGUACCUCUUUGCUGCAACGGCACCAAGGAUAGCAGCACCCAAGAGCACAGACUCAUUUUCACGUGGAAGUAUAAUAGGGCAACCUGCACCAAUUAUGAGCAAGAAGGCCACAAGUUUGUCAAUUUGUGUCAAAAAAUGCCAAAAGGCUUCUAUCAACAUCCUCUGUAAUGCAAAAGAUUUUUCACUUCUUGACAUAAGAAGAAUUUGAUUACAUACAAACAUAGCUAAGCAGGGGUCCUGUUAUAUGACUUAGAUAUCAUACCAGAACAAGAGUAACCCAUAAAUUUCGAUCAUAUGUAUAUACGCACACCGACUUGUGUAUUUAACCAUCUAUCUGUACGUACAUGUGUGUUCUAGAUAUAUAAAUACAACAGAAGGCCACAAGCAAAGGGAAGGUGGAGACUGAGGAAGACAGGAAGAGAUACCAAUAAUAUCUGCAUGUUGUUGAAGGAACAAGGGGUUCUUGGCAAGGCCACCGCAGGCAAGUAAUGUGUCAAUCUGCAAAUGACGAAAGAAACAUAUAAUAGAUAAGAGUUGCGAAACUGAUAAGUCAAUAACCAAAUAAUUAUCACUUAAAGUCAUAACAGCCCUACAUAAAAAAACACAUGUACACAAAUGAAAUUCAUUUACGAUGGUUGAUUGCAAGUUAAUUUUGUAUCAGAACCUUCUUGACCAAGAAUUUUCAGGACCAACUUCCGUUGAUUGUCCAAACCAGACAUCUUAAUUGGCCAUCAGAAAGUUAACAUAUGUAAAAGCAUUUUUUUGCUAAGCUAUAGAGUGAUCUACAUGUUUCUUUAGCAAACGCAAGUCAAAAAAAUGACCAGAAAAAUUAAAGCUCAAACACAAGGCAAUGGAUUGGGUUGCUGAACAACCUGGAUUUCUUUUCAACUAAAGCCAUUGUGGGUUAUCCCACGUUUGAAAUUAAUAUCUUAUAGUGACAAGUUUCUCUUCUGGUAAACUCAAAACUUUCACCUCCGUUUAUCCUCAUACAAACACAAAAUGGAAGGCAGUUCAUAUGGGUCCUUGUUAAUCAUAGAAACAAAGAAGAAAAGGGGUCUCACUUGAGCAGCAGGGACGUCAGGCAAUGUUACAGACAUGAUUGUGUAGCAGUUGUGCUGUUACACUAAAUAGCUAAAAAGUCAAGUAAUUGUGAGGCAUGUUUCAGUCUCUUGGCAUAUGCAAGUUCUUCCAGUUUCAAUAACUAUUUCUACCACCAAAUGUAUUAAUUAAUGGAACAAAAAGAGUUCUGAAAGGCGAGCCAGAAGCAUAUAGAGUAGAGAAACUUAGUAUAGAUGAUCUGACAGUUCAUUUCAUAAAAAACUUCUAACUGUUCUAGAUUGUGACAAAUAGAACACUGAGUGAAAAAUAUGUUCGCUUACUUUAUGACCAUGGCCAUUGCAGUGCUCCACAAUGUGACGUGUACCAUAGGCAAUGCCCUGUACAGUGGCGAGGUAUAAAAGAGCCAGCUGUUUCUCACUUGAAUCGAGUGUCAUACCACAUAUUAUUCCUUUUGAUUUCGGAUCAGCAAUAGGAGACCUGUGCCAUCACAAACUUAGUAGCAUACAGUUGCAACACAUAUUUGGGCACUACCACCUAGAACCGUACAUCAUGCUUUUAACUAUUUACCUGUUUCCAUGGAAGUCAGGAAGAACGUGUAUAUCUUCAGUCAGAGCAGCAACAAAAGGAGAGUUCCUCUCAUGCAUCAUUGAUUCUAAAGUGCCGUUCAGAAGUUCAAAGAGGGAUACAUCUGGAACAUAUAGGAGGAAAAAAAAAAAUUAAAAAAGACUAAGCCAGAUAUGCAUGCAAAGAGAAGCAAAAAAAUUUACAUCACCCAUAUAUUUAAAUGAACUGAGUUCAGAUAAAGAGACAAGAGAAAAUAAGUAUCUGAAAAAAUCAGCAACAAAUAGCUUACGUCGAGAAGCAGCACGGUUAGCAAGGCUUCGAGAAGCAACAUGAUUUUCAAUUAUGUAAUCUAACAACGCACCAGUAGCACUCUGCCCGCCUUCUGUUAGCCAGAAUUUAGGCACCAUUGCUGGAAAACAGAAGCAAAAGGAAGUUUACAUUAAUAUACACUCUCUUAAGACUUGUCUGUGACAGAACUGCAAAGAAACUCCUAGCUCUCCAGAAGGUACUUAUAUUUGCCUAAAAUUUAUACAAUGAAAUUUUAAUUUAAUUUGGUCAAUGAACUAUCCUUAAAAUCAAGGUGACCCAAGCUUUGAUCCAUGGCAAAGUGAAACUUAUGGUAUGAUAUUUCAUGUUAAUUCGAGUUGGAAAAAGAAUUGAAAUAAGUUGCAAAGAAGCCUUUCAAAAUUCUAAAAACAAAAAGAUAUAUAUACAGAAAAUUCAUGUAGGCAAGAGUUUGCGCACAAGAAAGCUCCAAAUCCUCACAUAAACUUUCUGAACAGAAGACUGAGAGAAAAUUUAUCGAUGUACCUGACCAAAAUGGCCCCCACACUCCAGGAAUAAACAACUUGUUCCGUGAUACAGCCAUAUGGCAAGUAGAAGUGCCACAGACUAACACCAUACGGUGGCAUAUAGCUUCCUCUUCAUUCUCUGAACAUAUAUAAUAUUUGCAAGAUUGAACAGAAUGUAAUCAAGUUGCAACUGGUACGAGGAAAAAGUUUAUCUAGUCAGCAAUAACCUUUGGCUUCAGAAACUGACUCAGGCACACUUUCCAUUACUCCCACACCUCCAGCAUGAGCAUCAAUCAGCGAAGUCCCAACAGGAGUUCCAGGUACCAGCCCGAGUUCCUGCAAUAAGAUAAUUUUCUGAAGAGAAUAAUACUAGCCACUACAUAUUACAAUAGAGAAAGAAACACCCCCUAAAGCCCAUUGAAAAGGAUGUGUAUUUGCACAUUCUAUCUAAAUAAAUGUGUUUGCUUUGUCAGUGGACCUCAAGGGCGCGAUCAAUUUGAAAUCUUCAGUACAAAAUUUCUUGCCUUUGCAGCAGCAGGAGUAAGGCCAGAACCCAACGGAUGGCCAGGGAAAGCUACACUCCGUCCUGUUGACACAUAAUUAUGUCAAAUUAAAAUAGCAAACAUUGGCAAAUGCGCUUGUACAAUACACCACCAAAUGAGUUUUCAACUCACUAUUUUUAUCAUUUCAUAGGAACAUUUAGAAUAUUGUUUGUGGCAAAUAAAGCCUCUCAAAUACAUUACAAACUGCAAAUACAUUGUAAGGCUUAUGGAGUGUCAGAUCAACCUUAUAGAGAGCAUAGAGGCAUAUAUAAAGAAUACAUAAUUCUAGUGUAAUCAGGUGAGAAAAUUACUGAUCCAUCAAUGAAUCAAAUGAGAAAGAAACAGCCUUUAUAAAUCAAACAUUACAAGAAUGUAGUUCUGGCAUUCUGAUAAUUGCAGCUUGAUCUGGGUUUCUUAAGUUACCAAACGAAAUAAAAUUUCUCUAACUUAGAAAUGACAAAAUAGCUUUUAGAUAUUGAACAGCAAAGAACUUAAAUUUUGAUCAUUAAUUGUCCAUGCAUGCAGCUUAUGUCCGCAUUAAUACAGAAAGAACUAAACAAAAGAAAUAUACAAACAUACCAAUCUUCGCAUGAUGCCCAUCUAUGAGAUCACCCAAGCCAAUCUCCUCCCAGAAUUCGUCAUCCCACCCACAAGCUUCCAUGUCUCGAAAACCUUUCUCAUUCAUCUGUUGCAUAUGUGCAUGACCAAGGUAAGUCCAUUUGCACACUGUGGUGCAUAGACUUCGGGUGUCAUCUCCUGUUGCCCUGGAAUGCACAAAAUAAGGACAAGUUCAUUUAAUAAAAACACAAUAAACAAUUGACUUAAUGGAAAAGAAUGACGUCUAGUCAUAAAAAAGAUUAUAAUAAUUCAGGACUAGCAGGUCCAAGUACCUAUACGACAACCAAUCACUCAAGUCCAUCCACCUAAAUACCAUCGACCAAGAUUCUCGCAAAUUUUCUUUCACCCAUAAAAGCUGCCGCACAAAAAAUUAAAAAUCGAAAAUCAGACAUGUUAAACACCCCCACCAGAAACAAAAGGAAUUAAAAAAGAAAAGAAAACGAAUCAUUCGUUCAACUCAAAGUUGAGACAUGAGGGAAAUAACCCGUUAAGUGCAAGUAACCACCAUGAUCAGAAACAAUAAAAUUGCACAAGUAUCGCAGAACAUAAAAUUAUAUCUUAACCAGCAUUAUGUAUUUGGAGCUUGUAAUGGCUUUCGAUUUCAUAUAACUUGACAACUUGAACCAAGAAUCCAAGGAAAACCCAUAGCCUCAGGAUAAAAAUUAAAAGCAAUCAUCACCUAAUGCCCUAAUAUUUUUCUUCCAACAAAAUCAGAACGCAACACCCUAGCAACUACCCAGUCCAAUCAAACUAAACUCACAUCAGUUCCUCAAAAAAAAAUUGAAAUUUACAAUUAUAAAGUCAAGUUUUUCAUCCUCGAUUCACUCCCACAAAUUUCUAUAUAAGCCAAGUUUGCCUGGUUAAAGUGUGCUUUUAACAGAAAGAUGAUGCUUUUAACAAAGCAAAUCCCUAAUUAAAGGUCUCAAACGUGUAAAUUGCACCAAGAAAACUCACAAGUCAAUUAAAGUGCGAAAUACGUAAAACUCUAAUGAAGCCNNNNNNNNNNNNNNNNNNNNNNNNNNNNNNNNNNNNNNNNNNNNNNNNNNNNNNNNNNNNNNNNNNNNNNNNNNNNNNNNNNNNNNNNNNNNNNNNNNNNNNNNNNNNNNNNNNNNNNNNNNNNNNNNNNNNNNNNNNNNNNNNNNNNNNNNNNNNNNNNNNNNNNNNNNNNNNNNNNNNNNNNNNNNNNNNNNNNNNNNNNNNNNNNNNNNNNNNNNNNNNNNNNNNNNNNNNNNNNNNNNNNNNNNNNNNNNNNNNNNNNNNNNNNNNNNNNNNNNNNNNNNNNNNNNNNNNNNNNNNNNNNNNNNNNNNNNNNNNNNNNNNNNNNNNNNNNNNNNNNNNNNNNNNNNNNNNNNNNNNNNNNNNNNNNNNNNNNNNNNNNNNNNNNNNNNNNNNNNNNNNNNNNNNNNNNNNNNNNNNNNNNNNNNNNNNNNNNNNNNNNNNNNNNNNNNNNNNNNNNNNNNNNNNNNNNNNNNNNNNNNNNNNNNNNNNNNNNNNNNNNNNNNNNNNNNNNNNNNNNNNNNNNNNNNNNNNNNNNNNNNNNNNNNNNNNNNNNNNNNNNNNNNNNNNNNNNNNNNNNNNNNNNNNNNNNNNNNNNNNNNNNNNNNNNNNNNNNNNNNNNNNNNNNNNNNNNNNNNNNNNNNNNNNNNNNNNNNNNNNNNNNNNNGUCCAGCAGACGCAAAAAUUAAAAAUAAAAUAAAAUAAUAAUAAUAAAAACGAACAAAUACACAACAAAAAUAAAAGAGGAAUCAUUCAUUUACUGUGCAUAAAUGGCCAUUUCAGAAAGACGGAAAAUCAAAUUGAGUGCCUCGAAUCAACCAUAACUCACUAUCAAAUUGAGUAAAACAGAAGGAUAAAUAGCUUAUUGUUUUCUGAUUCCUUUAUAUUCUCGUGCCAUGCCAUGUGUCUUAGAUGGAUAGAACAGCCGCUCAGAUACCUUUGGUGGCUGCAUCUCAGGGGAAACAGCUCCACCACAGUAUUGUAACACUGGUGAAUUGCGAGAAUUGAUCUUCUCAGCUUGCUUUACAGCUCUAUGGUCCAUCCACACGAUAAUGUUUCUCCUAGAAUCACCAUUCCAAGAAACUGAAACUGGAGAGCCAUCAGCAUCCACUGCAACUGCAAAGAAACCAUUUUAUCCAAAUUGUGAAAUCAUAGUAGGCGUCAUUUCUCAUAACAUCCAAAAUAAAGUGUUUUGUCACAGUAUUCUUGAAGAAUUAGUCACGAACCAAGCGAACAAGUGGCUGCAAAACCCACGCCCUUUACUUCUUCCCCGUCAACAUUUGCAAGAGAGCAAGCUGAAUCAACAGCAGCACAGAUUGCAUGCCAAAUAUCCGUUGAUGAUUGCUGAUUUUGAAAUUAAAGAUGAAAACAAAAAGUAUUAUUAGACCAAGCAUUUCAACAUUUACAGUUGUGAAUUAAAGUCAUACUGUCCUCCACAUUUUUCUUCGAUUUUUUUCCUACCCAAUAGCACUUCAAUCGUUUCAAGAACUUCCUUUGAUGCACUUACAACACAUCAGAAAUUAUUAGGAAGUUAAAGAUGAUCUGUGCACCUAACUUCUCGUGCAUGUAGUAAGUAAUCAAUACUAACAAAGUACCUCAAUGCAGUCACCCUCUUUCCAUAUUUGUAUUGGGCUACUAGCAGAUCCAAGAAGUUUUCCACUCUCAUCAAACAAACCUGUAUCAUCAAGCAGCAAGAACAAUCAAUAAACUAUUACAAAAUCUCAGAAGAGUAAUAUUCAUAUUGAUCUUUCCUAAUAGGACAUGGACAAUUAUGUACAUAAAACGACUGAUAGGAAUUCUUCUAGUCUUGAAACUAAAACUAUGCUCAAGACUACUAUGCUGCUACCUAACUUUAAAACCAUGGCAGCUAUAAGUGUUCAGUGAACACCUACUUUUACACAGCAGCUAACACUUACCACUCAUCCCAUCUAUAUUUAACAUCUAGUGAUUCCGCCUAACAACAGGCACUAACAACAGCUGUGAGUCAAAAAACAUACCACCUCAAUCCCAAACAUAUCCUAAGUCCGCUCAAAUCAGAAUUACGGUGAAGUUAAAGUGUCUGCGUAUGUAUGUGUGCAUGUGUGUAACUGGCACACUUGGUGCUAGCAGUCUUAUACGAAAUUCUUAAUGUUAACACAAGUUUAUAAAGAAAUUUCAGUUUCUUCGAUAAGACAAGGGUCAACUAAUUUGUAAUCAACCAAUGAUUUCAUUGGUGGAAAAAUAAAAUAAAAUAAUAAAUAUUCAAAGAAGUUUAUACAUUUUGUUGUCUAAUUCUUGUUUCUUACUAGAAACUGUGUUUUAUGGUUUCAGGAAAUUUAAAAGAAACUGUGUUUUAUGGUUUCAGGAAAUUUAAAACUAUAAUCGAGCGAUCAUUUCAUUGACCUGCGCGGGCACUGCCAGUGCCGACGUCGACGCCGAGAAAGACGGAGCGGGAACGAGCGGGAGGUGCGGUGGCGUAGGCCAUCUCGAGGAGGCCGCCGGCGGCGUAGGAUAUGCGGUUGGUGUUAUAGAUUGGAGAGAUAGAAGAUCGGUGUUUUUGGUCAAGAAGUGGCGUCGUAUCGGCCCACGCUCUUCUUUUAUCACCGGACAUUUCUCUUUCGUUCCCUCCCUUUUUUAUUUUUAUAUGAUUCGAAUUAUCUUUUCAAUUUCAAUAAUUUCUGUAAAUUUUCUUUUUCACUCAGUUGUUUUUUUUUUUCCCCUUCUCCCUUCAGAACAGAAGCACUCAGUUUUGAUUUGAUUGAUAAUUUUGGAGUUUCCUUUGGAUUUUCCGUUCUGAUUUUUGAGUGUUUUUUAAUAAUUCUGUUUAAUGACUGCCAACGGUGAUCUAUUAAUGCAUCAGUUUAAUUAUUAUUUUUUAAUAUUCUAAUUACAAUAACAAAAAUGACACACGCAUUCUUAAACUAAAACAUUAGCCCUUUUUUUCAAUUUGAAAAUUUGUGUAGCAUUGUGUUUGAAAUUACAUGAUGCCCCGGGAACAAUGUGUUCACAAUUGUUAAUAAGUUGAACAAUUGGUCAUUUUCAGAGGUCAGACUUGUGGUUCUAAUGUAUUUGUAAGGGUCUUAUUGAGUUAUACAUUAUAUAACUUAUAUCAAUCUAAAAUUAUUUUUUCAUAUCAUUUAAUUGUCUCUCGUCGAAAAAUUAAGGAAUCAUAAAAAAUUUAUUUUUAAGUCAAUUAUAUGUUACAAAUAAUAUAACUUAACAGUUGCCCAUUUAUAAAUAUGUUAAAUUAAUUUAAUGUAAUUUUGAUUUUUUAUUUAUGCUUUAUAUAGAGGUGCUUGUGGAUAAAAAUGGGUAACUUUUUGGACCUCCCCUACAAUUUGGUGUUUUGCCACUUUGGUAGAAAGAAUCACAUUAAUUAUAGGGGACGUUUUUACACAAUUAGCUUGAUUGAUAGUGCACUGACAAAAAAAAAUAAAAAAGAUCCCUGACUACAUAAGUAUCUACGACAACUACAGUUAUGUGUAAUGAUAGUUAUCACAAAUUGGCGCCAAACACCAUAAGAGCACUAAAAAGUCGAAAAACAACUGUGGAAAACAAAUCAUGGACCGAUGGAUGUUAAACAAGAGUAAGAAAUUCAGUAUAGCUGCCUACCCAUUGAAUACUCGCAGCUGCAGUGGCCAUAAAUACAGCCAUUGUCCAGCUAAAAAAAUCACAUUACAGCCUCUGCUUCAUCUUUCUUCUCGCAAUUGCUUCCCUAAUCAUUCAUUCAUAAGUAGGGGUGGGCUAAUAACUCGACGUGACCCGAUCCAACUCAAUGUGCAAAAAUUCAAGUUUCGGUCGUAUGCAGAUGGAACCUCCAACUCGAUCGCGUGAUAUUCUUAUCCAAACUGAUAAUUUGAUUGGAUUUCACAAUUUAAAAAAUUUGAUAAAAAAAAAAAAACCUAAUCGAUUAACUAAGCACUCAGUUCACACACCACGCACACGCACCCAGUCACCACAGGGUGGCACACGCAGAGCACCGACGUGACCCAUAUCGACAGACACCAUCAUCGAUGGUCUUAUGUGACCUACAUGCACACCUAGACCCAGUCACCGAUGCAAGUUGUUGCUGUAGCGCAGACCAGGCCACUGCGAUGCACUAGUGUGGUCUGCUCCACCUCGAUUAUAGCUUGCUCCACCUCGACUGCCACCUUGUUAGAUCAAAAUCCAGUGGCUUUUUUUUCAUGGUAUAUUCUAUUAAAUCAUUAAUUUUGAAUUUUCAUUGUAUUAUAUAAUUUGCACGAUAUGAGAUGUGAUGUGAUAUAACUUAAAUGGCGUCUAGUAUAACUUAAAUGAAGUCUAGUAUAACUUAUUUGUAUUAUAUUCAAUGUUACUUUCAAUUUGGGUUGGGAUUUAAGAUGCUGAAGGCAAUGUCAGAAGAGGGAAUUGCAAAACUGUUUAACAAGUAUUUUAGUUCAGAUCGAAUUACAAAUUCAAAUUGAUUUCGGGUGAAUAUUUGCCCAACUUGAUUAACUCAAAACCUGAUCUGAACUCAAUCCAAAUUCAAAUUUACCCACCCCUAAUUCACAUCUCAAUUAUGGAUUGGACAUCAAUCCAUAUCCGAUCCAUAAUUUUACAGAUUAUAAAUUUUUAAUCCAAUCUAAUUCACAGAUUAGUUAAAUUUAAUCCAAAUCUAUCCAUAUGUAUGUAGAACGGAUGCGAAUUUUACCCAAUUCAUAUCCAAUCUACCAUUUUGUCGAUUGGUUUGUGGGUUAAUUUUUUUUGAUUUUGUCCUAUCCAUGAACUAACUAAAUUUAAAAAAUUAUAUAAAAAUGAUUAUACAACCAAUCAAAUUCAAAAUUAAAAAAGAUUUACAUAAAUUAAUUGUUUAAAUAAAGAUAGAAAAUGCAUUCAAAAUUUUAAAAUAUAACACACCAAAAAGAAAAAAUCUCAUUUGUUUAAAUCAGUACAUAAAAAUUAAUUAAUUAGGAAGCUGUAUUUGUUUAUUUAAUUAUUUUUUAUUUUAUAUUAUUAUCGGAUAAGAUAUAAUAUGGUGUUAAUGUAACUAUAUUUUAACUUAUUUAUUUAUUAGUAAGUACUAAUACCAUAAUUACAAGCUUAGUUUUUUAAUUAAAUAAAUAUUUUUUUUGUUGAUCCGUAAUUUUUUGUGGAUUAACAUAAGUAAAUUCAUAUCCAAUCCACUAAUUACAGAUUUUUAAAUUUUCAAUCCAAUCCGAUCCACCAAUCUACGGAUCAAAUUUUUACGAAUCGGAUUUUUACGGAGCAUAUGGAUUGAGCGAAUCGGAUUAGAUUAUGAACACCCCUACAUCUUAAAAGCUCAAUAAUAAGUAAAUUACUUCAAUAAGACAAUAAUAUUUAUAAAAUAAUAUAUAAAUAAAGUGCAUUUAAAAAAAUAAAUAGAGAAAUAUACCCACACCUUACCCACAACUAGUUAUAUUUUGUAAGAGUGGAGCUAUCGUCACCCCUCUAAAACUCUCAUAAAACUCCUCUUUCUUAAAUUUAUAAUUUUAAUUAUAGUUAAAUAAAUCUAAUAAAAAUCCUGAAUCAUCAUUAUUAUCUAUAUCAAUAAAAUAUUCUCACUAGUUUCCGCUGCCCAUAACUUGUAGAGCUACAUAAAGAGAAUGGCUUUACUUUUUUCCACCGGUACAUAGAGAGAAUGACUUUACUUUUUCUACUAGUUUUACUUACUUUAUAAUAAUAUUUUGUUAUCUAUUUUCAUGAAAAGAUAAAAUAACAUUAUGAAUUCAUUAUAUUUAUCUAUCCAUCUAUCUAUCUAAAUUUAUAAAUGUUCCAAAUAUAGAAUUCUAAAUUUGUUAAAGUUUGGAAAAGCUAUUAAGUCAUAUGAUCUAUUAGUGUAAUAACAUUAUAAUAUUAAAGCAUGUGACUUAAUAAUUUUUUUCGAAUUUUAAUAAACUCUAGGAUCUUGGAUAUACAUAUAUAAUUCAUUAAAUCAUAUGACUUAACAAUGUGUUUGCAUAAAAAAAAUAAAAAUAACCGCAUGAGAGAAAGCCGAUAUCUAUAUAUAUAGUCACUUGAAAGUAAAAAGACACUGAAGGAAUUCUAAAUUGAAAAUUGAUUUCAAUAUCGAUCAAGAGCUUCGGAUUAAAUUUAUGAAACAGUUUUGCAAUAGAAGAAUUUUGUUUAUAUACGGUUUCUUGAAUAUAUACAUACGUACGCACCUACAUACAGGGUUAUUUGUGGAAUUCAAUGGGUGUUGUAACAAGUUGUGUGAUUUAUUUACUCUUUUAAUAGGAUACUUUGGGGCUCAUGGAGAGUUUAAAUGGGUGCUAACAGAUACAAAACUAUCGAGGCCAUCAUAAGCCCUACAAAUGAAUGAAUUCCAACCGGGCCCAUUUAAGAUUAGAGUAGGUUUGACGAUGCACGUUUAUAUUGGUAGUUAGCCGCGGAACUGGUCCCCUCCAAAACGUUGUUUUCCCUCCUUUAUUAACACAUCGCCAAAUAAAUACCUAACAAGAAAAUGUCGCUGACAAUUCAAAAUUUUUAAACGGUAGCCGUUGCGCAUCACUAUCUCAAUCCUCUCUCUCUCUCUCUCUCACUAGCUUCUCUAUCACCAUGCUUCGCCUCCGACGCCACCACUACCCGGACCACCACCGUCGUAUACUCCUCCGUCUCUUCCACCACUCGACAUUUCAUCCGCAGCCACUCGAUCUCCCGCUCUCUCAUCCCACGUUCCAAAUUUGGUCCGCCAACACCUCUCUAGGCAAAACCCUAGUCUCCGCUGGCCUCUCCUCUUCUUUCCUCCUCUCCCCUACCUCCUCUGCAAAUAAAAAGUUCGUCUAUCUCAAACCAAUCCAAACCGGGUACCCUCACGACUCCGACUCCCGCUUCCUCUUCACCAAACUCCCCUCCCUCUCCCUCCGCCGCAACUUCCCUUCCUCCCUCAUCCUCUCCAAUUCAAUCCUCUUUUCCUCCUUAUUCGCCGCAAAAUCUUUCCUCUCCUCUAGGGACCUCCCAUUUCAGCCCCAGAAAUUCAAUUCAGAAAUGUACGAUUUGAAUUUCCGCGAAGAGAAUCGAAUUUCGGGCGAGGAGGAUAGUUCGGUUUCGGAACUGGUUUGUAAGACUUUGUUUGCGUGGGAGGAGGCUGUGUCGCCGCAUUUGGCAGCUGAAAGGGAGAGUGGAGGAAUCGUAGGAGAUUCUAAGGUGAUUGAAACUUUGGGAAAAUGUUUGAGAGAUGGCUUGGAGAGUGAGAGUGAGAGUGAGAGGGGUAAAAUGGAGAUUUUGUGUAUUGUUGAAACUGCUGGUGGAGUUGCCAGUCCUGGACCUUCCGGCUCUCUUCAGUGUGAUUUGUAUAGGCAAGUGAAUUUAUGACUUUGAAGUGAAUGGUAUCAAUGCAUUGAUUAAUGGCUCAAAAAGAUGAUUGUAGGGGUUUAUGUUGGCAGGCCUUUCCGGUUGCCUAGUAUUCUUGUUGGAGAUGGGCGGCUAGGUGGGAUUUCUGGCACGAUUUCAGCUUAUGAGAGUUUAAAGCUUCGAGGUUAUGACGUUGUUGCUGUUGUUUUUGAAGACCAUGGCCUUGCUAAUGAGGUGCCAUUGAUGUCAUAUUUGCGAAAUAGGUAAUUUAGGUUACUUUCCUCUUCCCUGGGACGUGGAUCCUAUUCCUCUUUUCCAUGAUAAGAUGUAUAAAUCAUUUUGAAAUAAUUUGGUGCAUGUUGUACUCCUGAUGAUUAAUUAGUUAUGAGUUUUGUGUGUGCACGCUUGCAUACGUGUGACUAUGUGAGUGCCUCUGCUACCUGUAAGCUUCUAGCAUAUAUUCUUUUCUUGUUCUCACACAAAUGUUACAUUAAUAUAUAUUUUUUUUUCGCAUUUACAUAUUUGUCUUUUCUCUUUUACAGAGUGCCUGUGCUUGUGCUGCCACCUCUGCCACAAGAUUCAUCAAAUGACCUGAUGGAAUGGUUUGAUGAAUCUCACAAUGUCUUUGAUUCUCUGAAGAACAUAAUGUUAUUGGCUUAUUCUGAAAGAAUACAGAGACUGUGUGACAUGCCAAAAAGGGCAGGGGAGCUCUUCUGGUGGCCGUUUACUCAGCACAAACUUGUACCAGAGGAAGCUGUUACAGUAAUUGAUUCACGCUGUGGAGAAAACUUUUCCGUCUACCAGGUUAUUUACUGAGAGAUGCAAAUGCAUUUCUUAUCUUUUAAACUUUAUUUCUUUAUUUGUUUGUUUAACUUUCCCAAUUUUAUUAUUCCUUGUUACUCCUUUUCGUGUUUAUGAGUUUUUUUAAUUUGUAUCAGCUAAGAUAUGGGUUAAUCUACUGAAUCUCAUAACAUUUAAUUCACUUUUCGUGAUAAUUUACUGUCAAGCUGCCAAAUCUUUGUUUGAGAUGUUGAUUGGGAAAUUAUGAUGUGAAAAUGGUAUUUAUCUGACAUGCCUUGGGUCUUUGUUUUAAUUUAUCUUGCAGGACCAGAAAAAUAAAUUCAUUGGUCAACAGUUUGAUGCAUGUGCUAGUUGGUGGACUCAAGGACCAGAUGCUACCUUACAGGUCAUUUUAUGCAUAUAUAAUAUGCACUUUUUGCAAAUUUUGGAUUGCUAUGUUUGAUGUUCCAUGGGUGAUCGAUAAAUAGAUUUAGAAAAUAUCUCAUAAUUGUAAUUUUUUUUAACCAAAAUUUCUCGGCUGCUAGAAAUGCUGUUCCUUUACUCUUGAUAUGUUUUCACUAAUGAAUUUAGGAUGGGUCACUGCCAGAGUGAUAGCUCCAAAAAAAAAAAAAAAAAAAAAAAAAACCNNNNNNNNNNNNNNNNNNNNNNNNNNNNNNNNNNNNNNNNNNNNNNNNNNNNNNNNNNNNNNNNNNNNNNNNNNNNNNNNNNNNNNNNNNNNNNNNNNNNNNNNNNNNNNNNNNNNNNNNNNNNNNNNNNNNNNNNNNNNNNNNNNNNNNNNNNNNNNNNNNNNNNNNNNNNNNNNNNNNNNNNNNNNNNNNNNNNNNNNNNNCAAAAAAAAAAAAAAAAAAAAAAAGAACUCCAUAUAGUUGUGAUGACUAAGAAGCGGAAAGAGGGAAAAAGGAGGAGGAAGAAAAGAGAGGAACGAGAGAGACAAAAGAACUAGAGGAGAAGGGAUUUCAUUACUUUAAUAAUCAAUCUGGGUUCUGAAAGACAUAAGUGAAGAUUUAUAUAUUUAUGAAAGGAGAGAAAAAGAGGAAGCCAAAUUUUACUGAGAAAAAUGAAACUUGUUCUUCAAUACAUUUAGAGAAACAAUACAUAAAAAGUUGGUGAAAAUUUAGGCACCUAGAAUGUGUCAACUUGGUCUCUGAUUUUGAGAUGGUUUUUCUUUUGCAACUGAGACAAAUUUUCUAUUCAUCAAGUGAGCACUCUGUGCCAAGCAUUCUCUCAUUCUUUUUCAUCUGUUUAGCCUGAUUCCUUAAAGCCGACAUAAAUUUCAACUUGCUUUUUCUGCUUUGUGGUGAUCAUGUCUCUGAAAGUUUUCUUAAUCUAGCUAUAUGUUUAGGUGGUUUCAGAUUGAGCUUGCAAGAGAUAUGGGUUAUACUGCUGCAAGAUUUGGGCACGUCAUGUUUCCUGAGAAUGUUUAUGAGCCAGCCUUAGAAUGCGCAGAGCUUUUACUUCAGGGUGUUGGGAAAGGUUAGUAAUUUUUCAUUCACCAUCAAUCUGGAGAAUCAACUUUAUUUAAAAUGAUGUUAUUCCAGUCUAUUAAGGCACUUUCAUGUAAUUUAUUAAUCCUCAUUCAAUUCUCUUCUUUAACUAUUAAUCUCUUUAAUUUUAAGGAUCAGUCAAAGAUAUCAUCAAUGAUGGAAGUUGGAUUAAAAGUUUUGGUCUUUUGUUGAGAGCAUGCUCUUCUUUCUGCUAGUUUCUUUUCUGCACAUUUCUCCUGGUUAAGUUCAUAAGUGCAUUGGUUUUAUUCUUCAAGUGAUCCUGUGAUUGUUUUAGUUUUCCCAUUUUAAUUUGUUUUCUUUUUAAUCGAAGCAAGUGCAGCUUUUGAAAUUCUUGCAAGGGUUAUAUUUCAGAAACUGAGUUACAUUUUGUCCCGCACAUAGUCUUUAAUUAGACUCUGUAUAAAUAUUUGUGCAGGCUGGGCUUCUCGAGCAUAUUUUUCAGAUAAUGGAUCUACGGCUAUUGAAAUUGCUCUCAAGAUGGCAUUUCGGAAAUUUUCUUUUGAUCAUGAAGUUCUUGUAGAUUUUCUUGGGAAGGACACUACUGAAAAGUGUAUUGAGCUUAAGGUGGUGCUCUUUUUUCCUUUUUACAUUUGCCUUUUGACUCCAUACCUUGUGCAACAUGGUUUAGUAGUAGAAAGCGUGAUCUUCUGUGGAGUAAUUUUAAGUUGGUGUAUCAAUUUAUUUCAAUUAAUUUUCUUCCAGGUCCUAGCACUUAAAGGAUCAUAUCAUGGUGAUACUUUGGGUGCCAUGGAAGCUCAAGCACCAUCACCUUACACCGGGUUUCUGCAGCAACCAUGGUACAGAUGUUUUGUCCCUAUAAAGAUUCAGGAAAAUUAUCAUUUACACAUUAAAAAUUGUUGACUUUUUGAAGAUAAGUCUUCAUCUUAAUGUUUUAUCUCGAUUUCAGACUGACAAAAAUAAUCUACUUAUUAAUAGAUGUUUAAAUGUGUUCUGUUUUCAUGAGCCUUCAAACUGUAAUCAUACAGCUUUGUUAUCAAGUGGUCAUCUGGUAAUGUGGGAGCAUUGUCUUAUUAGUUAUCCAAACUUUUGAUGUUCUCUGUGGAAUCUGCAGUUCUUUUUCUUGAAAGAGAUAAAUUCAUAGAACAAUCAAUUGAAAGGCAGCCCCUUUCCUGCUUUUGAAAUAUGUUUGGUUAUUUUUUCAAAAAGUGACUUUCGAUAAUCUACUAAGCACUCAGGUUGAACCUUAGUUGUUUCAAAUCUCUUCUACUGUUUCCGAUAGCUAAUUAGCUAUUCCAAAUUCACUCAUAAUCAUGAUGGCUGUCUUAUCUGGGAAUUUAAAUCUCCAUUGCCAUAAAUUUCAUCUGAUCUCUUUUGAUAUUACUUGAUGAAUUAAUUAUGGAUUAUGGAUUUCUGAACUUAUACAGGUACUCUGGAAGAGGCCUUUUUCUGGACCCUCCUACAGUUUUCAUGUACAACAGCAAAUGGAUUCUUUCCUUACCUGAAUGGCUGUAUUCCAAAAUUGUAGAACAUAAAGACAUAAGUAAGUGGACUUAUUCUCCUCCCUAUCUUCCUCUUUGGUUCCCCUGUCCACAAUCUACUGUUAUUCUCUACCGCACUUAAAGGUAUCAUCUUCUGACAUGUAUUGCAUUUGUUUGAAAUCCCACAGCCUUUUGCUCUCGUGAUGAAAUUUUUUACGAGGAAAGGGACAGUUCAGACCUUGCUUCAAUUUAUUCAUCAUACAUAUCACAGAAUUUAUUGCAAAAUCCAGGAUUAAAAGUAUCUGGUUGUAUUGGAGCUUUGAUAAUAGAACCAGGCAAGUUAAACAUUAUAUCACACUAUGGUGUUUCAUUUUCCACUGCUUCUAAAGUUUAAUUUUAAUUCUUAUGGUGAUAGACAUAAGUGGUAUGCUUAAACUGUGUUGUAUUUAAGGCCGAUAGAUGGCAUAUUAUAUUCAAAUAUUUGAACAUAAAUUAGUGAAUGAGGAGCACAAGUCUGACCCUUAAGCCCCUCCUAUUUGAAUCCCUAUCCACAAAUUAAUUGCUUUCCUUAGGUAAUUGCUUUCAAUUCAGUUUUAUUAUAUAAUUUAGUGGUUGGACACUGUUCAACAGUUGUACAUGCUGCUGGAGGAAUGCACAUGGUUGAUCCGCUUUUUCAGCGGAUACUUGUCAAAGAAUGUCAGAAUCGUAAAAUUCCAGUUAUCUUUGAUGAAGUUUUUACAGGUUUCUGGCGAUUGGGAGUAGAGGUCUGUUGCUGUUGAUUGCAUGUCAUGACUCAUUCUCAUUCAUUGUGCUUCUUCUCUUUCUUGUCUACGUAAUUAGAUAAUGAUAAGAUUGCUGGAUGCUUUUUAUUCUUUACAGACUACAGCAGAUCUACUUGGUUGUGUACCAGAUAUAGCAUGCUAUGGGAAGCUAUUGACUGGUGGGGUUAUACCUUUGGCUGCCACACUGGCCACAAAUGCCGUUUUUGAUUCAUUUGUAGGAGAUUCAAAGGUAGUAUAUUCUGUUGAUUGAUUUGUAUGAAAGAUGAAAAAUAGGACAAUAUUUAACACUGGUCUUCCUUUUUUUUCUCAGAAAAGAGAAUGAAAAUCAAGUUUUGGGAGUUAAAUGUGGGAGGAGUUGUCAUUUAACUCAGUCUUAAUAUCAGGCAAUUUAAGUGUGUAUAAUUCAUUUUUUUUUUAAAUUUUAAGGUUUAAAAUUUGAUUGAUCUUUUAGCCACCUCUGUGAUGUUACAUUAUCAAUGUCUGGCUCUUUUUAUCAUCAUCAUCAUCCUGUUUUGGGUGAUGUACAUUUAAUUUAAAAAGUUUACUGGCUGCACAGUCCAUUUCUAGAAGUAUUGCAGUUAGGUUGAAUGCUGAAUCAAGUAAUCACAAUUUGAAAAAGUUUUAAUUGGAUAUGACUAAUAUUGGAAUAUUCUUUUCAAGUUUUUGAUGAUCUUAACACCGUAAAUUGUCAGCAGAAGUUUCGAAUUUAAUGUCAUAAUAAAUGAUAUUUGAAAAACAAUUCAAGAAUGUCCAAUUUGCUUCCUUGCUUUGAAACUUGGAUAUAUAAUAUUGUCCCAGUUUUCAACAAAUGAUUUUUGGUUUAUGUCAGCUGCGCUUUCCAAACAGCACUUUGUUAUUUAUGAUAUUUUGCCUAUCUUGUUGUCCUCAGACACACCCCCCCCCCAAAAAAAAAAAAUGGUAUAUGUAAUGCAGUUCAUCUAUGUGGUUGUUUUUGUAGCUGAAGGCCCUUCUGCAUGGGCACUCAUAUUCUGCACAUGCUUUGGGGUGUGCAGCAGCUGCUAAAUCCAUAAAAUGGUUCAAAGAUCCUCAGACAAACCAUAACAUAAUUCCUGAACGAAGAUUACUUAGGGAAGUAAGUGAAAUAUUUAUUUGUUUCUAUUCUUCCCUUGUUAUACUAGUUCUACCAUCUUUCACAUGCGGCCAACAAAGGCAAUUGGUUGUUUUUCCAUUUUAGAUUACAUAUUGAUAGUCUUGACAUAGAUGUUCAUUUUGGCAUGAUUAGUUCUAUAUCGCAAAAGUAGAUAUCAAUCAUUGCACGCCAAUCUAUGUAGUGAAAAAUUUAGUCCAUGCUGCUACUCUUUUUGAUGAUAAAGUAAGUGGUUAGUGUGAUCUAAUGAUCUCCUGGGUCGUUUGCAUUUAAAUGCUUGCAGUUAUGGGAUUUGGAGCUGAUACAACAGAUCUCAUCACAUCGUACUGUCCAAAGAGUGGUUGCAUUAGGGACUCUCUGUGCCAUAGAGCUACAAGCAGCAGGCUGUAAUGCUGGGUAUUGUCUCAUUGAGUUGUUUUUAUAUAAUUUUCUGACAACUGGAAUGCAUCCAUGAUUACUUAACCCUCACUUCAUUAACAUUCCCCGAUCCGAAAGGUAGGUGACAUUUUUUUUCCAAGUAGCAACCAGAAAUCGGAAGAUUACUGCAAAUAUUUUUGCUUGUUAUGCACCUUUUACAUGUUACAAUCCUAUGUUCUGGACCAUAUUGGUUGAUUAUUGCUGACAGCGCAUCCAGUUAGAUUAUAUAAGCCAAGAUUUGCAACCAAUAUUCAGGAAUAAUAGGUCAUGUUGUUUUGUUGUCCGGUUCCUUUAUUACAACUUCUGAUUAUUGAUAAAAGCAGUGUGAUAUCCAUUUAUGCUGGUACUAAUUCCGUAAUCUGGUUGUUAAUGUCAUCUUUUGAACAAUGUUAUCUAUUUUUCAGGUACGGAUCACUAUAUGCAGCUUCUCUUCUUAAGAAGCUCCGUGAAGAUGGUGUUUACAUGAGGCCUCUUGGUAAUGUUAUAUACCUCAUGUGUGGACCCUGCAGUUCUCCUGAGGUCUGCAGCCAACUACUUCUCAAGCUAUACCAAAGACUUGAAGAGUUUGACAAAGUUGAAGAGAAAUUGAAGUCUUGCUAGGUAGUAAUGAUUCUUUACUAUAAUAAUGUCUGGAAGCCAUUGGUCUAUAGCUUUUUAAAUGUCAACUUGAUUUUAUAUGUUUUACAGAUCUUUGCAUCAAGUGUUUCACUGUACCCGAUUCUUGAAUCUUGCCACUUCAUGGUUUUCAGCUCUGAUUUUCUCUGGAUCGAAACAACCCUUCCCUAUUCUGAACCAAGAGUACGGUCAAUUUGCAGUUUUGGCACUAUGCAUGUUUGCUUUUUGGGAAAUAAUUUAAGCUUAUGAUAAUUGUGUUGUUGAGAGAAGUACAUCUUCAUUGAUCUAUUUUCAACUCUUGAACAAGUUGGUUAGUUGAAAGGUAUAAAUCAAUAAAGCCUGUAUAAUGGGACUAAAAGCAACUUUUUGCUAUUCCAUGUCAACAGAGUAAAGGUUAGUUUCAACUUAUUAUUUUUUUAUAAAUUUGUCAUCUUUAAAUCACUUCAUUUACUUUUUAAAAAUCUUAACUUAAGAAGAUAAAAAAAAGUUCAUCAAUUUAUUCUAUUUUUUCUUAGGUAACUUAAGGUUAUAAAAAGUAAGAAAAUAAUUUAAAGAUAAUCAAUUUACGAUCGUCCUAGUAUGAAAUUUACUUAAAAAAAUAAUGAUCCAAUUUUGACAACAGUUCUCUUGUUAAUAGUGUAUAUGAUUGAAAUUAUUUAACACUUAUUUGUGCGGCCGGCUGAUUAGUGAUUAGUAUAAUACAGAACAUGGCAAAAACACCGUCAUGUUGAAACCUGCUUAUACGAUGGGAGCUUUGCUAGAAAUGAGGUGUGUUUGUUUGUUUUGAAACAUUAUGUGUCUACUCCUACAUUAAGUUAAAAAUUAAGGAUUUCGCUGUAAAAUGAAAAAAAAACUAAUAGGAUUUUAAUUUCCGGGUGGUAAGCUGACAAAAAAAAAUUUACAAAUAGGCGAGUGAGUGGUGACGUGUGUCUACUAAAAAAUAUGACGCAAAUACUAACAGUGACGUGGAAAGUGUCAUAAGUUAUCUCCAAACCAGUUGAGAUGUACGGUCAAGAUUGCUUUACUCUCCUCGGCCGGACGAUCCUAUGCAGAUAUCCAAUCCUGAAUCUGCCAAGAAAGUAUUUGCUGAUAAAAAGCUCACGGUAGUCGGUAUAUACCUUUAAUCAAAACUCAGACAAACAGUUAUUUGACACAAUUGUCAACAUCUUGAUGGUUCAAACGUGGACCGCGAAGCAGCUGAUUAAGAUCUAUCUUUCAGCCAAUAGUCGCCAGAGUAGACUUCAACCAAAAAGCGUGCGAGACGAGUCAGUAAUCAUCACUCUACAAAAACAUCCCAUUAGCUGCUGUUUUCGACUUUCUUCUCUCUUCGAACCAGCAAGAAAAAAAGAAAAAAUUUAAAUAAAUAACUAGCAGGUCUCUUUUCUUUUCUCUUCCCUCACUUUCCUUCACUUUCUCUCCCUCUGUUUGGCCACCGAGAAAAUUUCUAAACUAACGCUGCAACUUUACCUUUAUAGUAAAUUUCUAAGUUUGCUUUUCACAUUCCGCCAAUUUCUCGGCAGCUAAACGAGGGAUUAGGGUUUUAAUUGUGUGGAAAUGCUUUAUUUUUAUUUGAAUUUGAGAAAUCUGUGCUUAAUAUGAGUUGAAUUGACGAGUGUCUGUUUGUGUGCGUGAAAUUAGGGUUUAUUUUGGGGGUUUGUUUAGAUCUGAGAAUGCAGAGGCAAACGAGGUAUAUGGAGAGGACCAGUAGUAUGAGUAGAGGGAAGAGGAGCUUAGAGAGUAAUGAAGACGAGCAGCCUGAGCGAAAACGCCCAGCUCUCGCCAGGUAAUUUUUGUUUGUUUUAAAAACAGUAAAUUCUUUUUUUUUUUUUAAAUGUUUGGUUUGUUAUUGUGUUUGUUAAAUUGGUUACUUUGUUGUUAAUUUCUAAUAAUUUUUGUGAUAAGCUUUACAGCUGUAGUUGUAUAAUUAUUUAUAAAAUAAUAUUUUAGCAAAAAAAUGUUAGCUGAUAAUCAGUGGUUAAAUGGUGAGUCCAGCGACAGGUCAAGCUUCAUUAUGACUUGCCUAGAACUUUUUGUAUGCAUUUUAUGUAGGCGAUUUUUAUUUUCACUUUCUUGUUUGCCUUUUGAUGAUAUGUUAAAUACUAUUAUUUGAUAUUAUAUUAAUAAGUUAUGUUUAUGAUGCAGCGUCAUUGUAGAAGCUUUGAAGGUGGACAGUUUGCAGAAGCUCUGCUCUUCAUUGGAACCCAUUCUCCGAAGAGUUGUAAGAUAGACUUCUUAUUUUUUUGAUACACUGUCUCUUCUUUUUUCUUACUUCUUUCUCUUUUAAAUUUAUUUUUGCAAAAUCUUGUACUUUUUCUUAUAUUUAUUUAUGUUUAACAGGUAAGUGAGGAAGUGGAACGCGCUCUGGCAAAGUUAGGUCCUGCAAGGCUCAAUAAUGGACGGUAAGAUAUUCAUGAUCAUAUCAUAUGCGACAGUUGUUGGCUUAUCAAAAUUAGUUUUAAUUAUUUGUGAAUUUUUCCUGUUGACAUUGUGUUGGAACAUUAAGUCAUGUUCAUUUUCACUUUAAUUAUAUUGAAAGAAUUUAUAUCAGAUAUGAUUAGUAAUACUGGAUUAGGAUGUGGUUGCUAUUCAGUCUUAAUGUCUCGCAUCUCUCACUUCAGUGCCCCUGAUUUGGUUUUCUCUUUGCUCAUUUAAAGAAAAAGAAUUUAUAUCAGAUAUGGUUAGUAAUACUGGAUUGGGAUGUGGUUGUUAUUCAGUCUUAAUGUCCCGCUUCUCUCACUUCAGUGCCUCUGAUUUGAUUUUCUCUUUGCUUCAAUAAAGCAUAUAUGUUGCUUUCACAACUGGGUCUUUUGAUACAUUCUUCUCAUGAUUGACUAAACCUGUUUGUGAGUUUAUUAAUCUAAUACUUAUUUCCAGGGCUUCUCCAAAACGAAUUGAGGGUCCUGAUGGACGGAAUUUGCAGCUGUACUUUAGGUCAAGGUUAUCUCUUCCCCUCUUUACCGGAGGAAAAGUAGAGGGCGAGCAGGGUGCUGCUAUCCAUGUAGUUUUAGUUGAUGCAAACACUGGGCAUGUUGUAACCUCUGGGCCUGAAGCCUCGGUAAAACUUGAUAUUGUUGUGCUUGAAGGGGACUUCAACAAUGAGGAUGAUGAUGGCUGGACACAAGAAGAGUUUGAAAGCCAUGUAGUAAAAGAGCGUGAAGGAAAGAGGCCAUUGUUGACUGGGGAUUUGCAAGUGACACUCAAGGAAGGUGUAGGAACGUUAGGGGACCUCACUUUUACUGAUAAUUCAAGUUGGAUAAGGAGCAGGAAGUUCAGGCUUGGCUUGAAGGUUGCCUCAGGAUAUUGUGAGGGCAUCCGUAUUCGUGAGGCAAAGACUGAAGCUUUUACAGUCAAAGAUCAUAGAGGGGAAUGUGUGUUAAUACUCUGUUUUGUACUUAUUCUUAUUUCACGAUAUGUCAUGAAACUGUUUUCAUGCCUUUUUCCUUGACAGUGUACAAGAAACACUAUCCACCGGCCUUGAAUGAUGAUGUAUGGAGAUUGGAGAAGAUUGGCAAGGAUGGAUCAUUCCACAAGAGGCUAAACAAUGCUGGGAUAUUCUCAGUUGAAGACUUUCUUCGUCUUGUCGUGAGGGAUCCUCAAAAACUACGUAGUGUAAGUGUAGCUUUUGGUUCUUGAAUAAAACGUUCAUGCUUUGUAGCUCUCUCUGAAGUUCUAACAUUUAUUUACUGAUCAUAGAUUCUUGGAAGUGGAAUGUCAAAUAAGAUGUGGGAAGCUCUUUUAGACCAUGCAAAGACUUGUGUCCUAAGUGGGAAGCUUUAUGUUUAUUAUCCUGAAGAUUCAAGAAAUGUUGGUGUUGUUUUUAACAACAUCUAUGAGUUGAAUGGUCUAAUUUCAGGGGAGCAGUAUUUUCCUGCUGAUGCUCUUCCAGAGAGCCAGAAGGUUGGUUUGAUAUAUAUUUUUGUUUCAGCCAUAUUACUUGUGUUAUGUUUUCUCCAGGGUUCUUUCUAUAUUAGGCAUCCACUACUAGUUUAGUCUUCAGCAAUUUGUGCAAUAUCGCUUUGCUUGAUUCUUCUAUGCCUUUCGUUUUUGUCAGAAGAACCAUAUUUAAGUUAUUGCUGCACUUAUAUGUAUUCAUUUAUUUUUCGUCUUUUGGCAUAUUUUCUUUGGAAGUCAUUUCCCUUUGUUGUAGUAUUUAUGCUACUCUACAAAAAUUGUUGCUGGACUUCUUAACUAAAUUUGUGGACUAGUGUGUUUAUAUCUUAGUCAAAUGAUGCUAGUAGUAAUAUCUUCAUAGGCUUUUUAUGCCAUAACAGGAAGAUUAUUUUUUAGGCAAGUGCGUUGAGUUCCAUAUUCAAUUUUUAGCUUUCUUUAUGUUUUGUGCUGUUCAGCCCUGGAUUGGUCUUCAUUGCUGUAUUCGUAUUUUAGAUUGAUUAUUGUAAUAGUUUUGAUCAGUAAGGAAAUAAAUUAUGUACUGCAGGUUUAUGUGGAUUCACAGGUGAAGAAAGCAUAUGACAAUUGGAAUCAAGUUGUAGAAUAUGAUGGCAAGUCACUUUUGAGCUUAAAGCAAAAUAAAAGGUCAAAUGCAUCUAAAAAUGAACCUCAAAUAGGUCAGAUAGAUUUCUCUAAUGCUUUAGACAAUCAGUUGCAACUAUCCCGCUUGCCAGCUGCUGUUCCUACUGAGCAAUCUUCAGCUCAUUCAGGUCAUCCCAUCGGAGGUAAAUAUUUCUGUCUGCAUGUAUCGUACCUCUGUUUCUUUUCUUCUUAAUUGAAGUUCUCUUUUUAUUGCUUGAUAAUUAAUUUCAUACCAUUUGAUUGAAUAACACUAUACAUUUGGCCAUUUAAUGAAGCACUGAGAGUUAUGCUUAAUUUGGCUCUGCAAGCCUUCAUUCAACCGUCUGUGUACAUACAUACGCUGUAGUAUUAAACACAUGGCAGUUUGUGAUAUUUGAGAUUUUUAGAUACAAGUAGAAUAGAUGGUAGUUUGUGUUUAUUAAUUUUGUUUUUAACUCAUGAACAGAAUUUAGUGGUAAUACACCCUAGUUGUUAGACCCUUGUUAAUUUCCUAAGUUAUUGAAAUGCCCUUGGCUUUGUCUUGCGUUGAACAUGAUAAGACAUUGGCUUCCCAAGUAUCAGAUAGUGCAUUAUCCUGAUGAUGGAAAACUAAUGAUAUCAAAUAUCAAUUACAUCUGCUUAUGUGGUAGCCUUUUUCUUUUUUCCUUUUCUAACUCAUGAAAAGAAUUAAGUGAUAAUACACCCAAGUAGGUAGACCCUUGUUAAUUUCCUAAGUUGUCGAGAUGCCCUUGUCUUUGUCUUGCGUUGAACAUGAUAAGACAUUGGCUGCCUGAGUAUCAGAUAGCAUAUUACCCUGAUGAUAGGAAACUAAUGAUAGUAAAUACCAAUUACAUCUGCUUCGAAAUACCCAAAUGCAAACAGAGUCUAAAUAGUCCCCUGUGCUGGUCUUAAAUUCUGACAAAGAAAAUUUCACUUUUAUGAUGACCCGUUGUUUUUCUAACAGAAGUACAAGUGAAUUUUAGCCGAUGAUGCUUGAACUUUACAUAGGUAUAUAUAAUCAUUCUUUUUCUGUUUCAUUUUUCUAGGUUCAGGUUAUGCUGAUAAUAUGGCCACGAGAUACCCUUCCCAGCCCCAAAUUGUGAAUUCAAAUUCCCGUGCUCAGUUUGAUGGCACUUCAUUUGUGUCCAAUGACCAGCUGGUUGACAAUUCUCACCAAAUUCAGAGUACUAGAUAUGGUAACAGCACUGUUGGGCUGGCUCUUGGGCCACCCCAAUCAUCUAACUCUGGAUUCCAAGCCAUUGGCUCGUCUGUUCAGCAAUCCAACCUCAAUCCUUUUGAUGACUGGUCACACAACCGAGACAAGGGAGUUGAAGACUUUUUUUCAGAGGAAGAGAUUCGCAUGCGAAGCAAUGAGAUGCUUGAGAAUGAUGAUAUGCAGCACUUGCUUCGACUCUUCAGCAUGGGAGGCCAUGCCUCGGAGGAUGGGUACUCAUUCCCGUCUUUUAUGCCGUCACCAAUGCCAAACUUUGAUGAGGAUCGCACACGUCCUGGAAAAGCCGUCGUAGGGUGGCUUAAGAUCAAGGCGGCAAUGAGAUGGGGAUUCUUUAUCAGGAAGAAAGCAGCUGAGAGGCGAGCUCAGAUUGUUGAGUUAGAAGAUGAAUAAUGUCUGGGUUCUGUUAUCAAGCCUCUUUCUACGGCUCUUCUUUAUUCUGUAAGUUACAAGAACUCUUGGGGAGCCAGUGACAAAUUGAGGUUUUUAGAUCCAUAAUUCUCAAGUGCCUUUGGUGUUUUUGGAUUCUUAUUAACACCUUGAUGACCUCUGGUACGCGAAGGUUCUUGUUAGGCAAUGGGAAAGCUCAUCUUGUACAGUGGCCUGUACAGUAAGUUGUUUAUAUAGUUAUUCUUCGACCUUGGUAGUACGUUUCUCACUACUACUUAAUGAAGUUGUUUAAGUAUGAUACCUGGGCUUAACUUUAAGUUCCCGAGGGGUAAUAUGUUUUUGGGUUGAUGAGCCCUUUUGUUCUUGUUGACUAAUUGGGGAAACAUUUCUGAUAUUUAGGCAUGACUUCAUUUGUUGUCUGGACAAAUUUACUUUGUUAGUGUGAUGCUUUACUAUUUUCUUGUAUGUGCUAGAUACCCUUUUUCAUUGUUCUUUUUCAUAUAAUUAUGAAAAAUGAUUGGUAUUCCCAGAUUAAGACCGAAAUGGCAUGUCUUCAAUAACAUAAUUUUUAUAAGCAUUAUUUUGAUGCCUUGUUUUAUGUCUUUCUCAAUUGCCUUUUUCCUUUCUUGAGAUGGAUGGUUAAUCAGCGUAUGGUGUUUCUAUAUUUUUCGGCUUUCAUGCCCGUCGCCAAUAUUAUAUAAAUAACAUGGUCAUGUUGUAUUGUAUAUAACUGACCCAUGAAAUAACUUGUAAAGAGAUAGAGAAUACUACUAACCAGGGUAAGCCAGUGCCUGCCGACCAUUUUGAAUGCGAGCAACAAUUUUAACCUGCUUUGUUUGUAGAAGGUUAUUUGAUGAGCUGCUGUUCUUAGAAUUUUAUAUCUCUCGAGUCUGCAAAGGCCAAAGAGGGGCAGAGAGCACACAUUUGUAUUCGAUGAGAAUUUUCUGCUCAUGCAAGCAUACUAGGAAGAAAACUAUAGUUGGAUAGUCGCUGCAUAAUGUUUGAUGACCGGCUAAGUUUGAAAAGGUGACGUUGUGGGAGGUGACUAGGUGAGCGGCCACCAUUCUGGUCUGCCUGUUUUGCACAAUGGUGAAUUCGCUAGAUAAUUCGGGAAUUUAAGAUGUUGAUUAGCCAAAGUUUUUCACGCCAUUAAAUUUGGUAUCAGAUUCAGACCCUUACAAUUCAUCAAAUAUCAAAUGCUUGCGGCUGGUUGGCAUGUUCGAUUUUGCUGGAGGUUUUCGAUUGAAUUUUUGUUUGGACGUCACAAAGAGCAGAACUGCGUUUGUGGUGUUGCCGGUGUCCAAUCUUAGUUUUACCAUUGUUUUCCUCGCAGACAAAUUUGUUAAAAGGCUGUUUGAUAAAAAGUUCACAAAAAGUUAUAUUUUGGUCCAUCGGUAUCCUUAAGUUUGUGCACCAGAAGAGGAAAAGAUACGCUCACGCCUUAAAUACGUCACACAGUCGUUUGCCACUGUACAUUCGUAAUCGUAACACAAGCCAAACCUCACAAUGUCGGUAGAUAGGAAGGGCUUAACACGUCACCCAUGGGCAUAUUUAAUAAAAUUUUGAAAAUAUAUGUGGCAAUAAAUUAGUCCUGUACCUACGCGUCAAUUUUUUGAAGGUAACAUAAAAGGAAGAGUAAUGUUAUAGAUUUUAGCUAUUCAGUCCCAACUUAACAUUUAACACAAAUAUAAGUAGCAACAAGGAUCUUCCGGGUCAUUUUCAAAAAUAUGAAGUUCAAUUUAGAAACUUAUGUCUAACCAUAAGACUAGAAGAUAUUUUCCCGACGUUAAAUCACACAAUCUAAAAGACUUCACCUCUUGAUACAGAAUGACCUAUGAAUAUAGUGAGAGUGUGAAGACCAAAAAAUAGGGUAAUAUGGUGGUGUUUCUAUGUCAUUUUCAAAUGAAGGGAUAAGAAACAAAAAAACCCUUAAGACCCCGUUGAGAAAAGAGCUCCCUGUUAUCAAUCCAAUUCUCGAAUACGUCUCAAUUAGAUUUUGGCUUUUUCCUUCUCCUUUUUGCCGCUUUGGUUUUAUUUAGUACGAAUCAAUCUGGUGAAAUGAUAUAUUUAUCAUAGCCUUAUGCCUGCAGUUGAGUCCCGAGAAAUGAGAGUUGAUGAAGUUAUGAAACUGAGUGUUGUGAUUAUCCAUUUUGGAUAUAUUCUUGUUAAUCUCUUAUAUUUGAUUGUUUCUUUUUCUUCAUAUUGUUUUGCUCUUUUGUGGAUGAUCAAUAAUAAAUGGAUGAAGUUUUGUUAUUCCCAAUAUCAUUUCUUCUUUUCAUGUUAAAUCAAGUGAUCUACAAUUUUUAAUUUGGUAAAUAGUAAUACAUAUUUAUUAUAUAUUUAUCUUGUUCGCUAUAAGCUAAGCGCUUGCAUCGAAUGCUUAAAUACUUAGUUGAGAGAGCCUACUAUUAUUAACAAGUCGAACGUACAUUUGAUGAAACUCGGUGAAUUUGCUUUGAGACUAAAACAGAUAUGAAUGAUUAGACCUUAUCAUUGGUUGAUUGAGAAAUUUUGCACGAUUCCAACGGAUUGGUAUUAAUUAUUUCAAGUAAUAUCUACUAUCUAGUAUCCCCUUAAAAGUCAAUGCAGUUUAAUUUUAAUCUUCUUCCAUUGAUCUAACGGGAUCGUGAUAUGUGAUUCAUAUGCUUUGACUUUGAGGAUCGCCUAGUUCUAUUGUUACUUUUGAAUCCUAAUUUUCUAAGAGAUUAACUGAAAGAGGCUACGAAAAAUCUCCAUAUAUAGGUAAAAGAUUAGAGAUAGGAUUUCAAGGCCAGAUGUCUAUAUGUACUCUUUCACCACUUUUAUGCCUAAUUUUUCUUUCCAACUUUUGUUAAGGAUCUAUCAAAAAUCUAUUACCAGUAGCGAGUACGUGGUAUUAAAGUACACAAAAGAGUGACUAUCAAAUUGCAUACACAUGCAAACUAAUAAGAAACAAAAAUCUCUGCAAAAAUCUCCGUAUAUGAUUUGAGUAAAGAUUGGAUUUCAAGAUAAAAUAUCUGUUUACGUGGCAUUAAAAUACAGAAAUGAGUGAGGUUAUCACAACACACGUGUAGAUAUGCAAAAGCUCUAUCGGUAGAGAUUUCGAGAUAAGGUUUUCAUUUUAAUCCUGGCCGCUUCUGAGUGAACUUCGUUUAUAACCUUACCCAAAGGGAAUAAGCAAGAAAACAUCUAUGAGAAUCCAUUACAGCUGGCGAGUACGUGGCAUUAAAGUUCACAAAUGUCGAGGCUACGACUCACCUCUACAUGCAAAACUCACUAUAUUGAGAGAGGUGAUGUAGCAGAAGCAAGAGAUGGGGUGUGUGUAAGGGUUGGGGCAUUUCCUAUUUCCUUUAAUUUCCAAAUGAAAUUAAGAAGAAAAAAAUUAGAAAACCCUAUAAAUGUCCCCACAAGGAGCUCUCCCUUCAAUCACCACAAAUAUUCAUGAGGUAUUUUAAAAUACCUCAUCAACCGGUUGUUCUCUCUUUGGUCUCAGUAUCAUGUGAUCAGCUGUUGUAUCUCAAAAUUAAUGCGGAUCAUAUAUGGCUAUAUGCUUUGUUGAGUUGUAAUGAAGUUACAUAUGUAUGGUAGCGGAGCUAUAAAGAUGACACCUACGAUAUGGUUAUUAUUUGGCUGUGUUUUCUAUCAUUUUCUAGCUGUCCAAACUACCUACCAAGAAAAUUUGUGGAGAUCAUUUCAGCAGCCCUCCAUGUAGGAGUUUCUUCCUGCCCCCCUCCCUUUUGGUGGAUAAUAACGGAUUAGUGUUGAAGAGUGGUUAUUAAAACCUUCUUUUUUUUUUUUUUUACGAUGCCAAAGGAAUUGUAAUUCCAUAGGUAUACGCCUAUAUAUUUCUCUAUCAAAUCUGCCGAACAUCGGCUAAUAAAAUCAUGGGUAUUUCCUCUAAAUUAUCUGCUUCAGUGAGAAUAAUGCAAACCAUAGGUGGGCCUCUGAUAAUUUUCUUUCAAGUACGUAGAGCCCUUUGGAGAUAUGAUGUUCUUGGCUACCCUCAAAACAGGAAAAAUAAUAAUAAUCCGUUAUUUUUCUUAUGGAUUUCCUUAAAGAGAUUUUUCGGGGACAUUAGCAAUACUUUUCCCGUGUCGUGUUAAAACUUUUGUUUGCUUGUUAUGAUCAUUUUUCUCUUGAUUUGUUUUAGUCUCUGUCUUGUCACAAAGAGAGAGAAGCCAGCAAUUUAAUUUAUUUUUAAAAUUUAUAUAUAUUUUUAUUGAUAUUUUCAUCUAAUCAAUGAGAUCAUGUGAUAUCAAUUAGAAUAAUUGAUACAAGAGUUUGAAAUAAAUAAUUAGAUAAAAUAUAAAUUAAUUUUUUAAUUAAAUAAAAUUAUUGGAAAAUUAUUUAAUUAACUAGAUUUAAAAUUUUAAUUUAUUUAAUUUGAUAAAUCUUUUCUUUUAACUUUUUUCUUAUUCCACCUCAUAAAUUUGUUUCCUAAAGUUACUACAUAUUAACUGACAAUCUAAUAUCUAUCAAGGGUGCCUGCACGUAGUAUUUGCUAAUUAAUUAUAAAGUAAAUAAAUGUAAACCCAAAAUUUUUACAAUCUAACUAUCACAAUUAAGAAGCAAGUACGUGGCAUUAAAGCAUACAAAAAUUUGCAAGGCUAUCAGCAUCACUUGUUGGAGAAAUUUUAGAAUAUUUUUGAUGUAUUACAAAUAAUUAAUACAUAUAUGAUAUAUGUAAUUGAAUUUAAUAUAAUCACUAUUUAUAUAAUAAUUUUUUAAAAUAAAUACACACAUGCCAUAAUAUUAUUUACUUGUUGUAUAAGUUACAUAAUAUCUUUAAUGUAUUUUAAAAUUUUUCUAUUUGUAGAUGUAAAACCCUAUAAAUAAAGAGGGGCUGUAAACACUAGAGACGGGGUUAUUGGGGUUUGCACCCUACAUUUUUCAUUUCUCAACCGCAGAUGAUAAAUUGGGAACACCUUAAAAUCCCCCUCAUGGAGCUCUCUUCACAUCAGUCCAUAAGUUCUUGAAAGUGAAAGUGAAGCACGUACGAUGGAUAGAUAUAUAUAUAUAUAUAUAUAUAUAUAUAUAUCUUGUAUCAUUUCCUUUCAUUUUCUAGCUUUCCAAAUAAACUUCCCAGGAAAAGAUAGUGAGGAUACAUCUCUAAUGGCGAUGAUCCAUUCAUUUAGCGCAUCUUUAAUCUCUCUCUCUCUCUCUCUCUUAUAUCUUUCUCUUUCUGUUCAGGAGUGUAAUUGAAUGUUGUUAGACCAGUUUCUUUUUCAAUAAUGGAGUAUAGCUUGAUUGCUGAUCAUAAGUCACCAAGCUCUUAUCUUUUUUCCUUUUCUUUUUUUAAAUUCUUUGAUGAUGCUGACCGGUUUCAAUUUGUCCAUUAUUUUUGUAUAAAGAAUAAGACGUUAAUUAAUUAAGUUAAAACGAUAAUAUUGUUUAUUAUAAAGCGACGACUGCUAGAUAAAAUGCAUGUUAGACUAAACAGGGGGAAAUAUACUUGCUUAAUUACCAUUUGAAUCCAAAACAAUAUGAAGUGAUUAAUUAAUCUAUAACCGAUAUAAUUAAUUAUGGCUUAAGUCUAUUUAAUGCCAUGAUUAUUUUAAACUUCCAUUUUGAAUAUUAUUAUAUCUUUUUGCUGCUUUACAUAUGUGUUAAAAUAAAAUUAGAAAUCGUCUUGCUUGGUUUAUUAAAUGAUUCAUAUAUUAUACAUACAAGUAAUAAAUUAAUUCCACAGCAGUGGAUGCCGACAAAAUUUUAAUUAAAAAAAAAUCAUGAAAAUGUUCAAACACAAUUAAAGUUGAAUAAUUGAGUAGGGAGUAAUUUGUCAAGAAUACUUAAGACUUUCUCCUUAUUUAUCAUUUUUUUCAUUUUCAAUUUUUCGUCAGAGAAUAAAAUAAGCAAUUAUCGUUUCAAUUUUUAUAUUUUUAUGCUGUGUGUGAAUAAUUUAGAAUCUUGUAGAUAUAACUACAUAAUUUCAACAGACAACAAAGUUAUUAAAAUAAUUAAACCUUUCUGUUUGUUUUCCAAAUAUUUUUGUCAUUUCUUUUACUAUUGGAGAAUGGCUCUAGACUCUAGUAUUAGGACGAUCGAAAAAUUUUAUCACCUUUUCAUUUGCGAACAAAAUAUGGAAUGCUUCAAUUAUUUGAGUGUUGAAUAUAAAAUUGAGGAUUCUGUAAUUUGUUGAAUGGAUGAUAAAUAUUAGCCUUAUUAUCGUAAGAUGAAAAAGUAAUAAAUAUAUGUACAUGUUUCUGAGAAUGUAUAAGGAAUUAAAAAACAAAAAAAAAAAAGGUUCAAAUGAGUUAUGAGUCUUCUGAGAAUGUAUAAGGAAUUAAAAAACAAAUGUGUCUCACCAUUUUUUGUGUUAAUUUAUUGUAAUGAUAAUACUAAACUAACAGCCUGUUUAUUUUUCAAUCGAAAAAAAAAAAGGUUCAAAUGAGUUAUGAGUCCCACCAUAUGGAAUCCAAUGCUUUAUGUCAAAUGUGUCUCACCAUUUUUUGUGUUAAUUUAUUGUAAUGAUAAUACUAAACUAACAGCCUGUUUAUUUUUCAAUCGAACAACAAAUAUGGUUUUACUUAAGUGUUUUUUUUUAACAUUAAACAAUUACUAAACACGUAAUAAAAUCAGAGUAAUGACACAUUUAUAAAGUUAAUUUUUUAAUAGGAUCAAACAUUAAUAAAUGAAUGAUAUAUCAAAUAUCACAUUAUUUACUAUAUAAACUUUACAUCUGAAUUUUAUAAGUGUAUCAUUACUCAUCAAAUCAAUGUUCAUUUUUUUGGAUCCUACCUAAUAAAACGUGAUAAACUAAGUUACAAUUAUUAGGUGCAUUAACCAUUCACCCCCCCAAUCAAGAAGAUGCUCAAUCCCCAAAUGCCAUAAAGCUUGGAUCCUAAAUUUGUGCGAAGAAUAACAACAAAGAAGAACAAAAUCUUUUGAAAUAGUAAUAUUAUGUUUACUUAGUUAGCAUACUUAAUUUGUAUACCACGCAAGUACGCAUAACAUUAUCCUUUUUUAAAUUCAUUAACCAGUGUUACAUAUGGUAAAAAUUGGACUAACAUGCCAUUUUAUUGAUUACAGAGAAACAAAGAAUCUGACUCCAGAAUCUACAUGAAUUGAAUAACCAUUGAAUGAUUACACGAAAGAAUAAAAUAAUUUUUAAGUGUCUUGUUGAUUAUUUUCUCUAGGAGAUUCUGCAUUCUGCAGGAAGGCCCUGAGGAAAUCUCUUUGUAUCAGUGCAGUAAUUGUAAAUCAUGUAAUUCUUCUGCACCCAUUUCAGCCUUUCUUGACUUGUUGAAUCAAGCUCUUGUGAGAACCAGGCACUGCUGCUGGAUGGAGAGGAAGGUGAACUUGAAGCGCAAGAAGAUUUUCCAUUAGACCAGACACAGGCAUCAGCGUUGAAGUUUCUGUAGGAAGCCGUGAAGGGAGCAUGCGUCCAAUCUGUCUUGACAAGGCCACCUCUUGUAGCCCAGUCAUCAGCAUUCCAGAGAGAUGAGUAUAUUCUCAUUGGCUGAUUCUUUGGGAAUGCAACUCCAAUUGACUCUGAGUUCUUGAACUCUCUUAUGGGAGUACCAUCCACAGAGAAGCUGAAAAUUAAGUAAACAUUGAUAAGUCUAAGCAGAUUGAAUGACAAGGAAAGAAGAAAUGAUGGAGAUUGAAGGAAAAUAUUGCUUACACAAUGCGCUGAGGAUUCCAGAGGAUAGAAUAGGUGUGAAAGUCAGCAGUGGGGUCAAACCAGAGGUGAAAUUGUUGUUCUUUGUCACCUUUGCCAUUUGUGAAUACAUUGGUAUGCAGAGUGUAAGGGUCUGAGGAUUCCAGAGGAUAGAAUAGGUGCUGAGGAUUCCAGAGGAUAGAAUAGGUGUGAAAGUCAGCAGUGGGGUCAAACCAGAGGUGAAAUUGUUGUUCUUUGUCACCUUUGCCAUUUGUGAAUACAUUGGUAUGCAGAGUGUAAGGGUCACCACUUAAAUUCCCCAAGAACUCGAAGUCUAUCUCAUCCCAUGUUGAUCCUGGCGAUUUUAACUGCGUGAACAAAAAGUCAAAGGUCUAUAUGUCAGAUACAUGAUGAUCAAACAUGCAUAUUGUUUAUUCAUAUAAAGGGUGAUGAUCAAACAUGCAUAUUGUUUAUUCAUAUAAAGGCAGGAACUUACAUAAUAAGCAGUGACAGUGCCGGCAGAGUUGCCAGGGACUAGUUUGAGUUGCAUAUCAAUCUUGCCGAAUAGAUACUCAUUCUUGGACUGGAAGCCGGAGCCAGAGGCUUUAUCAAGGGAAAGAGUAAGAAGCUGGCCGUUGUUGAGUAUAUUAGCACGCCCGUCUCCCCAAGUGAUAUCAAAAUCUUGGUGGAAGUUACCAGCAGAGGUAACCAUCAAAGAGCCAAGAAGCAGCAGCGACAGAUGCAAUACUGAAGCCAUGGAAGCUUUCGUCUGAGCAACAACAAGAUAGAAGAAAUUGAGUUGGAGAGAAGUUUGAAAUUUUUUAAAGUGAAGCGAUGAGUGUGUUUAGGACCUUACCAGGGUUUGGUAUUUAUAGCUUGAUUGAGCUGGUGAAGGUGAGUAUAACGAAAGCAGAGGAAAGUAAUGGGAAGCUCCAGUUAGUUCAGCUUCAGCUGUGGCCAGUUGUUUGCGUAAAAUAGCGUGAUGAAAUAAAAACAGCUGUCCGAAUCGCACUAACAGAACACGCUACAACAGGGACUUUUUUUAAUUACAAUACGCGGCUUUGCAUAUUUUUGAGACUCAAGUACUUAUUCUGUACUGCUGUUAUGUUCCCAUCACCGGCUGACUCUUAUUAGCUUUUUUUUUUUCCAGCCACCACCAGUCAAAACACAAAAAAGAAAAUGUAGAAUUCACUGGGUACUCUUCUCUCUCGAGAUUUUCAUUUUUUUUUUUUUUGCAUUUUAUGCUCAAAAGAAAAAGAAAAAGAAAAAAUUGCUCAAUGACCUACUUAAUUAACAGAUUUUUUCGAUAACUAUAUUUAUUAUCAGGAAAUCAUUUAAUUCAAAAGCUUAAGACGUUAAACAGGAGUCCAGAAAAUAGCAUUAAAGUGUUAAAAGACCUGCCCAUGUGAAACAUGGAUCCAGUUUGAAGGUCAUGUCGUUCCAAAAGCGGAGAUAGGAGAUUAAAUUAGAGGUUCUUGAACAUACAAGAAUUGAAACAUAUACGUGUGUUAUUCGCAAAAAAUUGAGCACGCUGAGAUUUGAACAAGAAACCUUUGCUAUGUAAAAACGAAAUUGGCUUGACCCAAGAAAAUUAAAGACAAGUCUUUACUGGAGUCCCUAACACUAAUCAUGGAUCUAACAUCUAAGAAAUAUGUAUCCCAAGAUACCGAUACACAUGCUUCCUAGUAACAUGAAACUGUGAAUUUGUUUCCAAAUUUUAGGUUAAUUGAUAACACAUGCUUCCUGGUGGGUUCGUGUGUAAUAAAACACAUAUAGAACUUGAAGAUAUGCUUAUUAUUAUUAUUAUUAUUAAGGAAUUUAUAGAUAUUGGUAUUUAAAUCGAACGGACUGAAGAUUUUGCUGUGUACAAAAGCCCUGUUUCCUGUUUUGUAUAUUACCACUUAUACUAGAGAAUGUUUAAUUUGUUUAUCUGGAAAGGCGGUGGUGUCCUGGCGGGGUUGACUCGCCUUGAAAAAUCAACACUUGAGAGCUGGCUCGCAGCUUGUCCCCCUCUCAUUAUUAAUUAACACGUACAACAAUAACAGUAUGCAUCACUCUUCCUCAUCGACUUGUGCAAGUUCACUCAGUUAUUUUUUUAGUUUAUUUCUGCCAUUUUACCCUUUUACUGCCUUAUCUAAAUACUAAUCAAUGGCCAAAAUUUCUCCUCGAUUGACACAAAUACGGUAACGCUCACACGCAGUAUAUUUUCUUCUCAUUCUGGUGGAGACUCAUUUGCUCUUAUCUUCAUGCUUCCUCGAUAAUUCGUCAUAUUCCAAUCUAGGGUCUAAAAGCUUUAUUAAUGAGUCAUCAUGUCAAUACCUUUAAUUAGGCUUAUAACUAUAUGCUAAAGCUUACGAAGAAUAACAACAAAGAAGAACAAAAUCUUUUGAAAUAGUAAUAUUAUGUUUACUUAGUUAGCAUACUUAAUUUGUAUACCACGCAAGUACGCAUAACAUUAUCCUUUUUUAAAUUCAUUAACCAGUGUUACAUAUGGUAAAAAUUGGACUAAUAUGCCAUUUUAUUGAUUACAGAGAAACAAAGAAUCUGACUCCAGAAUCUACAUGAAUUGAAUAACCAUUGAAUGAUUACACGAAAGAAUAAAAUAAUUUUUAAGCGUCUUGUUGAUUAUUUUCUCUAGGAGGUUCUGCAUUCUGCAGGAAGGCCCUGAGGAAAUCUCUUUGUAUCAGCGCAGUAAUUGUAAAUCAUGUAAUUCUUCUGCACCCAUUUCAGCCUACUUUGAUUUGUUGAAUCUAGCUCUUGUGAGAACCAAGCACCGUUGCUGGAUGUAGAGGAAGCAGAAUUUGAAGCGCAAGAAGAUUUUCCAUUAGACCAAACACAAGCUUCAGCAUUAAAGUUUCUGUAGGAAGCAGUGAAAGGAGCAUGUGUCCAAUCUGUCUUCACGAGGCCACCUCUUGUGGCCCAGUCAUCAGCAUUCCAGAGAGAAGAGUAUAUUCUCAUUGGCUGAUUCUUUGGGAACGGAACGCCAAUUGACUCUGAGUUCUUAAAUUCUCUUAUGGGCGUGCCAUCAACAGAGAAGCUGAAAAUUAAGUAAACAUUGAUAAGUCUAAGCAGAUUGAAUGACAAGGAAAAAAAACUAAUGAUGGAGAUUGAAGGAAAAUAUUACUUACACAAUGCGCUGAGGAUUCCAGAGGAUAGAAUAGGUGUGAAAGUCAGCAGCGGGGUCAAACCAGAGGUGAAAUUGUUGCUCUCUGUCACCUUUGCCAUUUGUAAAGACAUUGGUAUGAAGAGUGUAAGGGUCACCACUUAAAUUUCCCAAGAAUUCAAAGUCUAUCUCAUCCCAUGUUGAUCCCGGUGAUUUUAGCUGCAUUAAAAAAAAAAAAAAACAGAUAUUUAUAUGUAUCAUCACAUAUGAUUAUUCAACUACGACCCAGUUUGCAUGCAUAAUACUUGCGUAUGAUUAAGUUGUAUUAAAAGAAGGAACUUACGUAAUAAGCAGUGACAGUGCCAGCAGAGUUGCCUGGGACAAGCUUGAGCUGCAUGUCAAUCUUGCCGUAUAGAUACUCAUUCUUGGACUGGAAUCCUGAGCCAGAAGCUUUAUCGAGGGAAAGAGUAAGAAGGUCGCCAUUGUUGAGCAUCUUGGCACGGCCAUCUCCCCAGGUGAUGUCAAAAUCUUUGUAGAAGUUACCAGCAGAUGCAACCAUCAAAGAGCCAAGCACAAGAAACAAAUGCAACGUUGAAGCCAUUGACAUAUGCUUGAGCAAACGAGGUACAAGUAGUGUUUGAAUUAACUGAGAGAAGUUUGUAAUUCGAAAGUGGAGCGAUGAAUGUGUUUAAGACCAUUGUGUUGUAUUUAUAGCCGGUGAAGAUGGGAAAUGUAAAAUGCAGAGGAAAGUGAAGGGAAAGGUCCAGUGAGCUCGGCUGUGGACAGUUGUUGGCUUGAAAAAAGUAUAAUAAAAUAGCUGUGCAUAUCGCACUAACAAGCAUUAUCCGACCAGCCAUAUUUUAUUAUAGCACGCGGUUUUUGCAUUAUUUUUGGGACCAAACGACUUCCGUUUAGUUUAGUAUGUGCCGCUGUCGUGGUCCCACUACCAGCUGACUCUUAUUAGAUUUUCCCACCGCCACUACUAAAGACAGUUGAAUUCACAUGAUGCGACCCUCUCUUCAGAUUUUCAGCUUUUUUUAUUAAUUGAUUCUCAAGGCAAGAGCAAAUGAAUAAUAUUAUAAUAAUACUAAGAAUAACAUAGAACUUAUUAAGAAAUUCCAGAAUUGAAAAUUCUCCUCACUAGCAAUUCAGUGUUCACCCAAGUGACAAUUAUGUUAUAUUUAUUCUGUUUGAAUUCUUAAUUUAGUAACUCCAAAAUUAAUCUUUUAUUGUCAUGUAUAUAAUAUUUAUUUUAUUAUUAAUUAUUUGUUAUCAACCUAAUUAAUAAAUGAUACAUAAAAUGUAAUAUUAAGGAGGAGACAAACUAAAUAUCCGAAUUGGGUUGGCAAUAACCGCAUGACAUUACUCAAAUUUUAUGUUACUGGCGUUGUCUAACACGCGAGACGGUGGUGGGUUUCGCUUGCCAUUCACUUGGACCUAACUGUAUGUAAAAUGAAUGUUUGUUUUGAAAAGGGAACUAGGCGGCGCCUUGUCUUCCCUUUCUUUAUAAACAAUUAACAAAUCAAGCAAAACCGCGUCUGGAAAACUUGGUCUGCGCCAUUUUAAUGAACAGUCAUUUGCUACAUUACUUUGCCAACUAUUACCAAAACGUACUGAAGUUUCCCGUGUAUCUUCUCUCCGUUCAACUCUGCCUAAACUUAUAGGAUAAAAACACCAACUAAGCACAACCUUUUCAUCAUUUCAGAUUCUUUUACAUUUCUAAUACUAUUCACAUGCAAAACAUUCCAGUGGCUUGCUUUCUAGUUUCUUCAUAUAUUCCGUCCAUGUUGAUGGUCAGUUUUGUGAUUUUCUCUCUAAUUGUAGCUUCUUCUGCUAACUUCUACCAAGAUUUUGAUAAUACUCGGGGAGAUAGACUUUGAAUUCUUGGGCAAUUUAAGUGGUGACCCUUACACUCUGCACACCAAUGUAUUCACAAAUGGCAAAGGUGACAGAGAGCAACAAUUUCACCUCUGGUUUGACCUUACUGCCGAUUUUCAUACCUAUUCCAUCCUCUGGAAUCCUCAGCGCAUUGUGUAAGUACUGUUUUUUUCCCUGUCGUUAAUUUGCUUAGACUUAUAACUUUUUUCAUUGUAAUUUCCAGCUUCUCUGUUGAUGGCACCCCCAUAAGAGAAUUCAAGAACUCAGAAUCAAUUGGAGUGCCAUUUCUAAAGAAUCAACCAAUGAGGAUGUACUCUUCUCUACGGAAUGCUGAUGACUAGGCUACAAGAGGUGGCCUUAUCAAGACACAAUGGACACAUGCUCCUUUCGCCGCUUCUUAUAGAAACUUCAAUGCUGAUGCAUGUGUCUCGUCUAAUGGAAUAUCUUCUUGUGCUUCAAGUUCACCUUCCUCUCCAUAUAUCCAACGGCUGCUCCUGGUUCUCACAAGAGCUUGAUUCAACAAGUUAAGAAAGGCUGAAAUGGGUACAAAAGACAUACAUGAUUUACAACUACUGCACCGACGCAAAGAGAUUUCCUCAAGGCCUUCCUUUGAAAAGAAAAAAUCUCCUAAAGAAGUGAUUAAAUCAAACAGAUAAAUCAGUGUAAACUUAUUACAUUCAAUUAUAUGCUCUCUGUAGAGCUAUUCUUUGCAGUCUUGGUCAUCAAUAAAAAGACAGAUUUGUCAUUCUUUAUAUCAGAAGUGUUAUAAUACGAAUUUUAUUGGAAAGAUGCAGAUGUGAUUUAUUAUAAAUUCAAUAUACUUAAUGUAAAAAGACUUAAAAGAUUGAGCUUUACUCAUCUAAAGUUCUCACAGACCAUAUCAACGUGAUCCCUUUCUAGCAUAUUCGCAUCUUAAUUCAUAUGAUAACUGAUACAACAUCAAUACUAUUAUUAUAACUUUAUUUUGAUAUUACAACAUAAAGUUUGAGCAUGAAAUAAACUACAUUAUUUACUUUAACUGUAGAAAUCAAAAUUAGAAUAAAUUGUAUUAUCAUUGAUGUGUUUAGUUUGUCUUGAAAUCUUAGUCAUAAUAAAUUAGACUGUCAUAAAUUACUAAAAAGUUUUUAAUUAAUUAUUAUCAUAAUUAUUAUUUUAUAUUUUAAUUAAUGUAAUUAUUGUUAUUCAGAAAUUAUUAUUAUUAAUUAUUGUUAAUAAUAAUAAUAAUAUCAUUAACAUGAAUAUAUUAAUUAUAAUAUUUUUUUAUCAAUAAUAAUGAUAAUAAUACAUUUGAAAAUCAUAAUAACAAUAAUAAUAAUCAAAAUCAUCAUCAUCAACGACAACAACAAAUCAAAAUCGGAUUUGGAUCAUAAUAUCAUCGUCGUUGUCGACAUCAUCAUCGGUGAUGGUUGUUGUUGCUAGAUCGUUGUUGCUAUUGCUCCUGCUCAACGGUCAGCGACGACCAAUGACGUUGAUUUUUGCAGUAACAGUUUGGUGAAGACGAUGAAAAUCGGUGAGGCUUCAAUUUACAGCGACUGUUUGCUGUGGUUUUUUUUUCUAUUUAAAUUUUUUUAAUUGAAUGAAGGUGUUGAUGCUGAAAUCUGCUCGCCUCUUGACCGACCAGAUUCUUUCACCAACGUUUGUGUUAUCUACUGUUGCUCGUUCACUGGGAUUGGAAUCGUCCUCCUUUCUCUCAAUAGACCUGCACUCACUAAAAAUGGAUCAGAGACGCCGGUGGUUUUGCCGGCGUAAACCCUCCGAUGCCUAAGUUAGCACAAGGUGUUUACGGGAAAACAGUGUAAUUUGGAUUCCAGGAGCUUAUUAAAAAUUUGUAAGGAAAUGGCCUAGUUGCAAUUUGGCAGCGUUUUCCCUCUCUCUUUUUUUUUUUCCCCUUUCUUCACCGAUUUCUUCUUCUUUUAUAGCCGCUGUCCCCACGUUUCCGUUUGCCAUUCAUCCCACCUUUUUCGGGUAGUGGCAGCCCCUCAUGGGAUUUUAACUGCUACAUUGUGGGCAAACGUGGGAUCUCGCAUCUCCCACAACGGUUCUGGGAAAAGCGCAACUACCGCGAUUCUGUGGGAUCGUGUUUCCGCUUUUUGAGGGACGGGUACCGACUCGGUAUACGACUCUGGUCGGUAUUCGUCUCUGAUCAGCUCAUGUUACCCCCUGUUCUGCUCGUACCAUUUGGCUGAGGUGAUUCAUGCCGGGGUGGAAAUAGUAGCAUGGCCGACCUGGUGCUUUUAUUUGCUUAACACCAGUCCCCCAGUUUUUGGUCUUGUGAGUGAAAUGAGUCAAGAGUAGAAACUGAUAGUCAAAUCUUACCAAUCCAGGGGCUUCUCCUCUGAUCUUUCGUCUACCGGGAUGGACCUGAGGUAUCAUUUUUCUUCAGGGGAGAUUUUGACCUGAGCAUGGGCCUAAAUGAGUAUGUCCAUUGCGUAUCUGGGCUUGCAUCUAGCCUGGCCUCUUAUAACGAUUGGUGACGUGGCAUCUCCCGACUCUUCGUAUUUGAAAUUUGAAACGACGGGCUAUCUGUCCUUGAUGUACGGUGAGUGAGCUGGCGUCUCUAUCACUUAAAUGCUUUCAUUUCCCCUUUUUCGUUUCAAAUCCCUAGACUUAUAUCUGCAUCGCUUUGUUAUUCAUCUCUUCAUCGUUAACUAACUCCCUCUCUGAACUUUGCUUACACUUCUCGUGUCUGGAGUAUCCACUCGCUGAAUUUUUUCUCUAUCACGGUCGCGCUAUCAGUGCCAGUUCAAUCCAGGUAUUGCCUUUAACUUCUCCUCUGGUUAUUGUUGAUUGGGUUCUGUGUUGCCCUUUUUGUGUCCAUAUACUCGAGUUUUCUUUGUUUUCUUUUGAGGUUCUGAUAUGUCAAACCGAAAAAGAAAGUUAAUUGUUGAUGAGGAUGAUGAAGAAUCAGGGGAUUCAGGCCUCAACGUGUCAAUACCCACCUAUUUCUUAGGUCCCUCCAGUAAUGUAGGUCCUUCCCAUGGCAGGGAUACCCUUGAGUACCCACGCCCCUUGGUUGUCUCUUCCUUUCCCGAACUAGAGCUUGUAGGGAAUAGAGGUGGACUUGCGUCGGGAUCUGGUGAGAACCACAGCUUUGGUGGGGUUGGGAUCCGUGAAGGAGUUGGCGAUGGUGAGGGGAGCAGUUCCGGACCGAGCGGUCUUGCUAAGAAAAGGAAUAUUGGCCAUAGGGUGGAGGCUGAUUUCUACCCUAUUGAUUACAUAGCCUGUGCCACCACCCAAACUGACUUAUUCAAGCUUAGGAACCUCUACGACAUUCCUGAGGAGGUUCUUCUUGUAGUUCCUGGGAAGGGUGACGUUCCUAGUCGGCCUCCACGGGGGUAUGUGACAAUGCACCUAGAGAGUUUCAAACUAGGAGCUCGGCUGCCCCUUCAGCGUUAUUUUUCCAAAAUAUUGGGGGGUAUGCACCUGGCCCCAGAUCAGCUACACCCGAACGGGUGGAGGGUUCUCUCGGCAAUGUUUGUGUUGUGGUAGAGGUGCGGGUCGGAGGAGCCUUCCCUUGUUGAAGUGAAACAUCUGUAUCAGCUGCGGAGCAGCCCAAGGGAGGCGGGCUGGUAUUACUUCAUGUCCAGUUCCGCAAAGAGAAAGCCAAUCACUGGUUUCCCCUCCUCGUGCAAAAAUUGGAAGAACAAAUUCUUCUUUGCUGGGGGAAAGUGGUGUUCAGCACUCCGUUCGUUGGGUGGUGAUAUUUACCUUCCAACGCAGUUUGUCACCCCAGGUCGUUCAUUUUUUGCCUAUAUUCCUUCUCAAACUGUCACUUAUCGAGUUCUUUAACCUCUUUUGCUAUUUCAGAGUCGUGGGGUUUGAUCGGGGGGCUUAAAGAUUGACCUUUGCUUCAGGUGGAAACUGCUCUGUUGAACGCGUCUACCUGCCAAGACCUCCUGUCGCCAACAAACCUGGUCGGUUCGGGCCUAGUAGACAUAGCCGCUGGAAUGGAUAACAAAAUCCUUAGCGCGAUGAGCAGGAAGCGUGGUCGGGCUCCGAGUAGCUCCAACAACCUUCCCCCUCCUCCAAAGAAACCCAGCGUCUGUCUUUCCAAGGCGCCUGUUCCUGCUCUGCCCCCUCCUCCACCUCGUAAGAGUGGUGGGGAGAAAACCUACGACAAGAGUCCUGAGGUCAGCUUGCAAUCUGAGGACCGAUCUUCUCCUCUUCUAUCUCGGGAUCAAGGUGACUACCUGAGCCCAUAUCAGAAGGAUUAUAAAAAAUCGGUUGGGCCCAAGAUGGUGAAGGACAUCGAGAGCAUGAGUCUCUCCGAGUUAGCUGCUUUUAUUCAAAGAGUCUCCUUCAGGUUGUCCACAAUGGUCUCGUGCUACAAGACCGGGUCCGCGCGUCAUGAGAAGAAGCUUCAAGCUGACAAUCAGGAGUUGAAAAAGAAAGCUGAAUCUGCUGACCGCUCCAAGGAGAAACUAGCCGAGCUGAACAAGCAGAUUACAGAGCUGGAGGAGAAAGUUGCAGUUGCUGAGUCUACUGCCUCCAGGUUUGAGGGUGAGUUGGAUGGCCUGAAGUCGGACCUUCAGGUAACUCAAAGUGAAAGAGAUACUUUGAGGACCGCCCUUGAGGGAGAAAUCAAAUCCCUGAAUGAGCAGCUGGCUGAGGAGAAAGGCAAAUCCGCUGAUGUGGACGAUCGGUUGGAUGCCGAGUAUGACUCGGGGGUUGCUUUCUCCUAUAAGUGUAUCAUGUCUGUGCUUCAGGGAGAAUAUCCCGAGCUGGACAUGAGCAAGUUGGAGGCUGGAGUGCAGCGGUAUAUGGCAGAGGUCGGCCAGGCGGACAAUGAGCAGGGUGAGCAGGAUCAGGUGGAGGCUCCUUUGGAUGAGGUGCAAGAGGGGGAAGCUGGGGGACGUCCUUUCGAAGUGGGUCAAGGGUCCAUGCCUCCUCCUCCCGGCAUUGCUGAUCUCCCACCUCCUGAACUGCUGUACGGCCAAGGCGGAUGUACGGUACAGCAGUUUGUAAACAAUUGAACAUUUAUAAAUUUUUAGAUGCUCUUUAUUUGCUUUCUUGUUCGGUUUUUGCUAAUAGAUUGUUUCUGAAAAACAAUUGGAUAACUUAUCUGAUUUUGCCUGCUGGUUCCUUAGCGAACUGAGCAGGAGUAGACAUUUACUUGCCUUAGUAAAAUUUCCAUAAAACUGGUUGCUUGUCUUCAUUGACCGAGCCGAACUAGGCACUUACUUGCCUUAAUAGGAUUUUUUGUAGAAUUAGCUGCUGGUCUUUCGUUGACCGAGCAGAAGUAGGCAUUUACUUGCCUUAGUAGGAUCUUCGUAGAUUUAGCUGCUGGUCUUUCGUUGACCGAGCAGAAGUAGGCAUUUACUUGCCUUAGUAGGAUCUUCGUAGAUUUAGCUGCUGGUCUUUCGUUGACCGAGCAGAAGUAGGCACUUACUUGCCUUAGUAGAAUCUUCGUAAAUUUAGCUGCUGGUCUUUGGUUAACCGAGCAGAAGUAGGCGCUUACUUGCCUUAGUAGAAUCUUCGUAGAUUUAGCUGCUGGUCUUUCGUUGACCGAGCAGAAGUAGGCACUUACUUGCCUUAGUAGAAUCUUGGUAAAUUUAACUACUGGUCUUUCGUUGACCGAGCAGAAGUAGGCACUUACUUGUCUUAGUAAGAUUUUUUGCUUCAAGCUGACAAUCAGGAGUUGAAAAAGAAAGCUGAAUCUGCUGACCGCUCCAAGGAGAAACUAGCCGAGCUGAACAAGCAGAUUACAGAGCUGGAGGAGAAAGUUGCAGUUGCUGAGUCCACUGCCUCCAAGUUUGAGGGUGAGUUGGGUGGCCUGAAGUCGGACCUUCAGGUAACUCAAAGUGAAAGAGAUACUUUGAGGACCGCCCUUGUGGGAGAAAUCAAAUCCCUGAAUGAGCAGCUGGCUGAGGAGAAAGGCAAAUCCGCUGAUGUGGACGAUCGGUUGGAUGCCGAGUAUGACUCGGGGGUCUCCUGGUCCCGUGGCUCGUAUUACUCUAUACGGGCCUUUCCAUUUUGGGCCAAGAGCACCAUGGUUGGGAUCCCUAGUAUUUUGAUUCACCUUCCUAAGUACCCAAUCUCCUGCUCGGAACUGCCUCACGCGUACAUUCUUGUUGUAAUAACGCGUGACCCUUUGCUGACACUGGGCCACUUUCUGUGAGGCCCCUUCCAUUUUCUCCUCAAGUAGGUCCAGGCUUAAGCAGAUCUGCUCGUCAUUUUCUUCCUCAGCGAAAUAUUCCGUUCGAUGUGUCCCCACUCCAAUCUCUGCUGGGACUACUGCCUCAUGACCAAAAGAUAAAGCGAACGGGGUUUCCCCUGUAGCAGUUUUGUGAGUUGUCCGGUAAGCCCACAAUACCCCUGGUAGCUCGUCAACCCAAGCUCAUUUUUUGAUUGCCAACUUGUGGCAAGCUACCCCGCGAUCAAUUCCGGGCAUAUCUUCAUGAGACCAGGCGAAUAUAUCCGCAUGAGACUGUAGGCAAUUUAUCAGUUCGCCUUUUAUUGCCCCAACCAAUCCUGACCCGAUCUUCACUACUCUGCUCGGGUUGCUUUUGCUUACCGCAACUUCCUCCAGUUUCUCAACAGGCUCUUGGCGGCCCUUUUUAGAGUCUCCUCGAUUAUCUAGAGAGGUAACCUGCAGUGUCUCCUUGGCCGCUGUAGCAUAACAACUCCUUGCCAUCCUCUGGUCACCUUUUACUACGCCAACCACCCCAUUUACUCUGUAUUUCAGUGCCAAGUAAUGCGUGGAUACAACGCAUUGGCUUAUCCUCAUGAAUGGUCUCCCCAGUAUCAUCUGGUAAGGGCUUCUUUCCUCUACCACGACAAAAUCCAGCAUCAUUGUUCUUUCAAAUGGUUUUGUCCCUAUAGUAAUUGGGAGUUCGAUGAUCCCCAUGAGAGUUAACCGUCCCCCUCCAAAUCCCUUUAAGGAUGUAUUUGUCCGCUCAAAUUUCAAGUCUGCGAUCCCCAUAUCAUCUAGAGCCAACUUAAACAGGAUGUCAACCGAGCUGCCUGUGUCUACUAGUAUUCGUCGCAAUUCUGUACCGACCACCAUUGCCUUGAUCACCAAUGCAUCCUCAUGCGGAUAUAAGAUACCCUCUUCAUCGUCAUCUGUCCACAUAAUGGGAACUUGCCGCACUUUUGCCUUCUUGGUUGCCGGCAAAUUGAAAAGCACUUCUUUGCUAGUCAGGGCAUAUCUCCCAUAGUUCUUCCGUGCCCUGUUCGAAUCCCCGGCCAAUGUUGGCCCUCCUGCUAUUACACGGAUGGUCGGCUGUUCACAUUCCAAAUCCCUCUCAACCCCUUCAUCCCGUGUAUAUUGUGAUUCCAUGACAAGGGACAUUCCAUCUACAUACUCGUCUGUUGUAAUAACGCGUGACCCUUUGCUGACACUGGGCCACUUUCUGUGAGGCCCCUUCCAUUUUCUCCUCAAGUAGGUCCAGGCUUAAGCAGAUCUGCUCGUCAUUUUCUAUCAGCUGAACUGCUCGGUUAUCAUGAAUGUCACCUCGGGCUGACACAGUCGCUAACUGAUCUGGUCGACUAGCCAUGGAAUUAGUUGCAUGUGAUGCUCUGGGAGUGUUGUGAUAGGGGUGGGCAGCCAUCUGCCGGAAUUCUCUUUGCCGAUCCGGGAAUGGGGGACGCGGAGGUUGAGCCCGGUUGUGCUGGAACUGCUGUGAUCUCAGAGCCAUGGGGUAAGGGCGGGACCGAGCCGAUAUUCCGCCCAUCACUGAAGAUUCUCCAGCUCGUUUUCCCGACCCGCUCCCUGUCGGGACUCUCCGUUCCUUUCGCCUCAGCUCGUCCAGCUGUUCACUUUUUAUUCUUGCCGAUUUCUCCUCUUCGAUUUCUAUAUCUCGCCUCGCCUGCUCAUACCCCGACGAGUAAUUCUGUACAAGGGGGCUUCUUAAGUUAUACCAUAGUCGGCCGAUUCUUACACCUUCUUUUAAUCCCCUCAACGCCUGCGGGUGAUUAAAAGCUCCCAGAUCCAGCACGGCUCGGUGAUAUCUUUUUACAACCAUUUUGGGCCAAGAGCACCAUGGUUGGGAUCCCUAGUAUUUUGAUUCACCUUCCUAAGUACCCAAUCUCCUGCUCGGAACUGCCUCACGCGUACAUUCUUGUUGUAAUAACGCGUGACCCUUUGCUGACACUGGGCCACUUUCUGUGAGGCCCCUUCCAUUUUCUCCUCAAGUAGGUCCAGGCUUAAGCAGAUCUGCUCGUCAUUUUCUUCCUCAGCGAAAUAUUCCGUUCGAUGUGUCCCCACUCCAAUCUCUGCUGGGACUACUGCCUCAUGACCAAAAGAUAAAGCGAACGGGGUUUCCCCUGUAGCAGUUUUGUGAGUUGUCCGGUAAGCCCACAAUACCCCUGGUAGCUCGUCAACCCAAGCUCAUUGCAGAAUCUGCUCUUAUCCCGUCGGUGAGUCGGUUUUGUUAUUGGGGCUGGAGGGUACAGCAAGCUUCGUCCCUCGAUCCUCUCAUACAAUUCCUCCAUGGAGAUCUUUAACGGAGUGUACUGUCUAUACGCCAAGCUCUGGUCUAUCAGCUGAACUGCUCGGUUAUCAUGAAUGUCACCUCGGGCUGACACAGUCGCUAACUGAUCUGGUCGACUAGCCAUGGAAUUAGUUGCAUGUGAUGCUCUGGGAGUGUUGUGAUAGGGGUGGGCAGCCAUCUGCCGGAAUUCUCUUUGCCGAUCCGGGAAUGGGGGACGCGGAGGUUGAGCCCGGUUGUGCUGGAACUGCUGUGAUCUCAGAGCCAUGGGGUAAGGGCGGGACCGAGCCGAUAUUCCGCCCAUCACUGAAGAUUCUCCAGCUCGUUUUCCCGACCCGCUCCCUGUCGGGACUCUCCGUUCCUUUCGCCUCAGCUCGUCCAGCUGUUCACUUUUUAUUCUUGCCGAUUUCUCCUCUUCGAUUUCUAUAUCUCGCCUCGCCUGCUCAUACCCCGACGAGUAAUUCUGUACAAGGGGGCUUCUUAAGUUAUACCACAGUCGGCCGAUUCUUACACCUUCUUUUAAUCCCCUCAACGCCUGCGGGUGAUUAAAAGCUCCCAGAUCCAGCACGGCUCGGUGAUAUCUUUUUACAAAAUCUCGAAGGGAUUCAUGCUCCUCCUGUUUCAUCCCCAUCAGUUCCAUCAUAUCGUCCUCUGGGGCCAUUGCCCCUCGGAACUGCUCGGCCAACUCCUGGCACAUCUGCUCAUACCCUUUUAUACUUCCUCGGGGCAGCUUGCGGUACCAUUCUCGGGCUCGUCCCUCUAAUGUCAACGGGAACACCCUGCACCUCUGAGCUGAUGUCAGCCCCUGCACACCCGUCAUGUCGUUGAAACGCUCAAUGUGCACCAGCGGGACAUUUCGCCCGGAGUAUUUGAGGUCGGGGAAGCGGAAAUCUCUUGGGAUUAUGGUACUCAUGAUCUCAGUUGAUAACAGAGAUUCUUCAUCUAGCAUUAUCCUCCAGGUCGAGGCUUUCUCUUGCCCUGUAUCUCCUCUAUCACCUACGCCAAUCUGCGCACCUCCCCCUCCAAUUCUAAGGCACGGUCAGGAUCACGUGCAGCUAUAUGGUCUCGUUCCAGCUCGGCAUUGUGUAACCGCUAUCUGAGCUCUCCUUCGUCAACACUGGCACCUCGGCCAUUGACUUCCAGGACCUGUCCGGGGCGAGGUUGGUCCCUCCCUUCAUCCACGCGUUCUCCCGGGACCCGACCAGUACUUCUGUGGGGAUGCACCCCAUUAGGUUGGUCUGCGGGCGGAGGGAUUUCCUCGACUCUACGCCUCCGAAGGCUGGGUUCUACUCCAACUUCAUCUCUUCCCACGGGGGUUUCACAAUCCCUUCUCCGCUCAUCCCUCAGCUCGAACAAUAUGGUUGCGAGAGUCUCCAUUUGUUUCUCCAUCCGCUCCAGUCUAUCUUGCAUCAUCUUCUCUCGGGCUUCAUUUGCAAUUUCCCGGAGAGUGACUGUCUCCCCAGCUUCGUUAUCCUCCCUCAAAGCGUCCUUCCUUGUCACAUCCAUGCCUAACCGUUCGCUGUUUUUCCAGUAACUACUAAUUCGGUGGUAGCUUUUUAUCCAGNNNNNNNNNNNNNNNNNNNNNNNNNNNNNNNNNNNNNNNNNNNNNNNNNNNNNNNNNNNNNNNNNNNNNNNNNNNNNNNNNNNNNNNNNNNNNNNNNNNNNNNNNNNNNNNNNNNNNNNNNNNNNNNNNNNNNNNNNNNNNNNNNNNNNNNNNNNNNNNNNNNNNNNNNNNNNNNNNNNNNNNNNNNNNNNNNNNNNNNNNNNNNNNNNNNNNNNNNNNNNNNNNNNNNNNNNNNNNNNNNNNNNNNNNNNNNNNNNNNNNNNNNNNNNNNNNNNNNNNNNNNNNNNNNNNNNNNNNNNNNNNNNNNNNNNNNNNNNNNNNNNNNNNNNNNNNNNNNNNNNNNNNNNNNNNNNNNNNNNNNNNNNNNNNNNNNNNNNNNNNNNNNNNNNNNNNNNNNNNNNNNNNNNNNNNNNNNNNNNNNNNNNNNNNNNNNNNNNNNNNNNNNNNNNNNNNNNNNNNNNNNNNNNNNNNNNNNNNNNNNNNNNNNNNNNNNNNNNNNNNNNNNNNNNNNNNNNNNNNNNNNNNNNNNNNNNNNNNNNNNNNNNNNNNNNNNNNNNNNNNNNGUUGAUAACGGAGAUUCUUCAUCUAGCAUUAUCCUCCAGCUCGGGGGCUUUCUCUUGCCCUGUAUCUUCUCUAUCACCUGUGCCAAUCUGCGCACCUCCUCCUCCAAUUCUACGGCACGAUCAGGAUCACGUGCAGCUAUAUGGUCUCGUUCCAGCUUGGCAUUGUGUAACCGCUGUCUGAGCUCUCCUUCGUCAACACUGGCACCUCGGCCAUUGACUUCCAGGACCUGUCCGGGGCGAGGUUGGUCCCUCCCUUCAUCCACGCGUUCUCCCGGGACCCGACCAGUACUUCUGUGGGGAUGCACCCCAUUAGGUUGGUCUGCGGGCGGAGGGAUUUCCUCUACUCUACGCCUCCGGAGGCUGGGUUCUGCUCCAACUUCAUCUCUUCCCACGGGGGUUUCACAAUCCCUUCUCCGCUCAUCCCUCAGCUCGAACAAUAUGGUUGCGAGAGUCUCCAUUUGUUUCUCCAUCCGCUCCAGUCUAUCUUGCAUCAUCUUCUCUCGGGCUUCAUUUGCAAUUUCCCGGAGAGUGACUGUCUCCCCAGCUUCGUUAUCCUCCCUCAAAGCGUCCUUCCUUGUCACAUCCAUGCCUAACUGUUCGCUGUUUUUCCGGUAACUACUAAUUCGGUGGUAGCUUUUUAUCCAGCUCCCCACAGACGGCGCCAAAAUGUUGAUGCUGAAAUCUGCUCGCCUCUUGACCGACCAGAUUCUUUCACCAACGUUUGUGUUAUCUACUGUUGCUUGUUCACUAGGAUUGGAAUCGUCCUUCUUUCUCUCAAUAGACCUGCACUCACUAAAAAUGGAUCAGAGACGCCGGUGGUUUUACCGGCGUAAACCCUCCGAUGCCUAAGUUAGCACAAGGUGUUUACAGGAAAACAGUGUAAUUUGGAUUCCAGGAGCUUAUUAAAAAUUUGUAAGGAAAUGGCCUAGUUGCAAUUUGGCAGCGUUUUCCCUCUCUCUCUUUUUUUCCCCUUUCUUCACCGAUUUCUUCUUCUUUUAUAGCCGUUGUCCCCACGUUUCCGUUUGCCAUUCAUCUCACCUUUUUCGGGUAGUGGCAGCCCCUUAUGGGAUUUUAACUGCUACAUUGUGGGCAAACGUGGGAUCUCGCAUCUCCCACAACGGUUCUGGGAAAAGCGCAACUACCGCGAUUCUGUGGGAUCGUAUUUCCGCUUUUUGGGGGACGGGUACCGGCUCGGUAUACAACUCUGGUCGGUAUUCGUCUCUGAUCAGCUCAUGUUACCCCCUGUUCUGCUCGUACCAUUUGGCUGAGGUGAUUCAUGCCGGGGUGGAAAUAGUAGCAUGGCCGACCUGGUGCUUUUAUUUGCUUAACAGAAGGUAUUUUCAGAAUGUUAAAAUUUCAAUGGGAACAGAUUUUUUAUUCCCAAAAAUCGAUCGUUGAGAAUUAGUCUCGCAUUUUCAUGCUUAUUUUAGUCUUUCAUUUUGAUGCUUAUUUUGUAAAGUAAAUGCUAUUAAUAAUUUCGAUUCUCCAAUCAAGAAAGUAAACAUAAGUAAACAUCGCAGUAAUGUAUAACUAUAGCAAAUUUAUGAUAUAAAGUAUUGUCAUUAUAUAUAUGUUUAUACUCGCGCGGAAUCUACGUAAGCACUCGUGGCCACAGCACACUCAAGAGGAAGCCCUUUUGGGAAGCGCUUUGUGUCUGUACAAUAAUUAUAAAUCAUGUAAUUCUUCUGCACCCACUUGAGUUUCUCUCGGCUUGUUUCAUCAAGCUCAUCGAUCUUCAUCCAUGCAGAGGAUGAAGAAUUCGAAGGGCAAGGCGCAGAAAUGAUUGGACCUGCUGGGUAACGAAUGCAAGUUUUGGCAUUAAAGUUUCUACAAGAAGCUGUAAAUGGAGCUUUUGUCCAAUCUGUUUUGACAAGACCGCCUCUUGUUGCCCAGUCAUCAGCGUUCCAGAGACUCGAGUGUAUUCUCAUUGGUUGGUUUUUUGGGUAAGGAAUGUUGAUUGACUCCAAGUUCUUGAACUCUCUAAUCGGUGUGCCAUCGACAUAGAAUCUGAAAACGUUUUUAAACAAAAAUGUUAGAGAGCCUUUUUAACCCAAAAGAGCCCAAAGAAUAUAUGAAGUAUUAAACCAAAAAAAAGAGACACGUCUAAUAAAAAAAAGAAGAGGAUUAAUUAGUGACUUGAAUUGUUGCUUGUUUUCAACAAGAGAUGAUUAGUGGAUUGAAAUUCUUACACGAUGGUUUUGGGAUUCCAGAGAAUGGAAUAUGUGUGAAAAUCUGAAGUGGGAUCAAACCAGGGAUAAAAUUGCUGCUCUCUGUCACCUUUGCCUUGUGUGAUUACAUUUGUGUGAAAAAUAUAAGGAUCGCCACUGAGAUUUCCCAAGAACUCAAAGUCUAUCUCAUCCCAUGUUGAUCCUUGUGAUGACAACUAUAACACAGAAUUAAAAAUAAGCUUACUCUUAAAGAGAAAAACAUUUUCGUGCAAGAUCACUGGCAGCUUACGCCUUACAUAGUAAGAUGUGACAGUGCCAGCAGAGUUGCCUGGGACAAGCUUGAAUUGCAUGUCAAUUUUGCCAAAUAGAUACUCAUUCUUGGACUGGAAACCUGAGCCUGUGUCUUUGCCAAGGUAAAGAUUGAGGACUUCUCCAUCGUUGCGAAUCCUGACCUUGUCAAUUCCCCAUAUGAUGUCAAAAUCUUGAUAAAAAUUACUAGCUGGUAAAACUAACACAAAAGAGUUAGAUAAUAAAGCAGACAGCAUUAUCAGCACUACUAGUGAUUUAGCCGCAGCCAUUGUGCGAUAUUUAAAAUUUUGUUAUAGUUUUGGAUUUUUAUAGAGACGAAAAGAAAGAAGCGAUUUGCCAUUUGGAAAAAGAAAAAUGAAAAUUUUAAGAGAUAAGAUAGAUGAUGGGGAAGAGUUAGAGUCAAGGAUUAGGCUAGCACUUGUGGGGCAAAGAGCAAGAGCGGGAAACAGAUGGCAAAGACUGAAAUUAGUGAAAAGAAACUGCGAAAAUGCGGAUUUAUGCAUGUCACACAAGUGACAGCCCUAAGCAUGGUUUAUUAACACGUUGAAAUUUUGGCUGAUGGGUGCUUUUUGACCACUCUAUAUAGUUUCCGCAUCUACUGACCGGCUGGGCUCAGCCCUAUGUGAUUAGGAUGACUUUGGAGCAGUUUCCGUACUUAGAAUAGUCCCAAAAUAUGCUUAAGAAAAUGAGCAGGGUGUUCAAAAUCUAAUUCAAUUGGCUUAAUCCCAAAAUUAAUAGUCCCAAAAUUUGACUUUUAUAAUCGCCGAGAGUAAAAAUGAUUAUCUUAAGAUUUCAACAAGUCUUAAUAUAUUUUUCUUCACUUUUCUUUCUAGUAAUCAUGACAAUACAAAAAUUGUAACUAAAAAAGAAGAAUUAUGUACUUGGUCAUGAUUCAUGAGGAGACAUAAUGAAUCUUAUAAAAUGAAACCUUUGACUUCAAUUGGAUCUUGAGUCGCACAACCACUCUAGCUUUAUACAUAUUGUGUCUAGAUAUAAUAAAGUUCAAUGGUGCUCGUCGUUAAUUACUGUUAAAUGAUAAUAAAGUUUUAGCAAGAUGAUAUGAAUAUAAAGAGCAAAACAAUUUCGGAAUAUUUUGAGCUGUCAUAUUUACAUAAUUAACUUAACAGCUAAUAUGUUUAUCAAACAUUUACACAGUAAUAAUUAAUAUUAAUAACUUUUGUAACAACUCAAUCCCAAACUUGCCUCUUUUUAAUGUUUUGAAAUUAAACUUUACCUUUAAAUGUGUUGACAGAUAUUGACUCCUCCAAAUUAGCUCCAUCAACUGAAAUUCACCGCCACGUUUCCCCGACAUCUUAGGCGCCAGCAUCAUUUACACGUGGCAAAAAGAUAACUUUACACUUAUUUGAUAAACACAAAAGUAAAACUUCAAUUAAUCAAAUUAGAAAUAAUAGCUACCUGAUGUCCCAAAAUAUUUGUAUGAAGUCACAUAAAUCUUAUCACAACGAACAAAGUAGCUAGCUAUCACUUCUAUUUGGUCCAUUUUUCAUCUGCAUCAUUUUCCUACGUCCUGCAUGAAGGACCAAAAACAGAAGGAGCAGCUGGGGGAUGAAGGGAAAAACCCUAAUGGUCAAAACCCUUGUGGAGAAAACCCUAAUGGAGAAAGCCCUAAAAAGCAAAAUGAUGAUGCUUCACUUGUACGGCAUCCUGUGAAGAGUACUGGUCAUCAUCUGAUCGCUGAUGAUUCUUAUUUUGAUUCAUUCCCGCCUGGUUACCGAUUCAAACCCCACGAUGGAGAACUUGUGGUUUAUUACUUGCGGAGGAAGAUACUGAAUCAGCCAUUGCCUCCAAACCAGAUCAAGGUGGUGGAGUUGUAUAGGUUUAAUCCUAACACACUUACAGGUUAGGGGAAAAAAAAGUCACUUUUAAUUUCUUAUUUUCUCAAUUUCUGUGUUGUAUGUUGUUUUAUUGGCACGCAUCAUAUAUGAUUAAUUUUUUUUAUAAAAAAAUCUGUUUAUUCCUUAUUUCUCGAGAUUAUUAUUUAUUAGAAUGGAAAUUUUCUGAGUCUCGUUAGUGGCUUCUCUACUCUUUAUUAUUCAAAUUUUGUAGUCUUCGCUUGGGAUAUUUGUGGCUUCUCUACUCUUUUUCACGAUAGAUGUUUAUGCCAUUACAUAUAUAAUAUUACAGUGUAUAUUUUAAUGUGAUGCGAUUUUACAUCAGGUAUGAUUUUAGAUUUAGAUGGUGUUGUAAAUCAGCAUAUAAAAUUUAAUCCCCUCAUAUUGAAAACGUUUAUAAUAUGUUAUUUCUUUCGUAUUAGUUUGUCUACAUUUUUUUUGUUUCAUGAUAUCUUUAUGAAAUUUCUUUUAUUCUGUCCACUGAUGCAAUGAUUUACAGAAAGGUACAAGUCACUUGGUGAAAUGGAAUGUUAUUUCCUUACACCAAGAGAUAGAAAAUAUCGAAAUGGUCUAAGACCCAAUCGAGCUGCUGCAGAUGGGUACUGGAAGGCCACAGGAGCUGAUAAACCUGUUAAGCACAAUGGCAGUUUGGUUGGAUUCAAGAAGGCAUUGGUCUUCUACAAGGGAAAAGCUCCAAAGGGUGAUAAGACUAACUGGAUCAUGCAUGAAUACAUAGUGAAUAAUCCACCACAGAAACAAAAAGGCCGAAAUGAUAUGAGGGUAAAUGAUUUUCCUUGUUGUCCAAAUUCAUUUUUAUUUGAUUCUUUUUUUUGGUUUUAUUCGACUAAUUUCUGCUUCAUACAAGUCCCUUGCAGUUAGAUGACUGGGUUCUCUGUAGGAUCUAUAAGAAAACAAAGCAGUCAGCCAAAGCUUCUACUCGAAAACGAGAGGAUUCAGAGGAGGAUCAACAAUCAAGAAGCGAAGUUGCAACUCAAUCUCAAGAUAGUGGACAAACUUCAGUUGAUGAAAAGGCUAAAAUGCUGCCCAAAACAGAAAAUUUCAAGCCUGAAGGCCUUGGAAUCUUUGAUGUGCCUGAUUACUACAACCAGGGAAGAUUCUUCAGCGCAUAUGAUAAUGUCCUUUUAUCUUGUCAGAGUCCAUAUGCUAAUUUUCAGGAUGGUCAUCAGGGUAAUUCUCAGAAUUGGCUUCCUUUAAUCCCUCAGUCGGGGUUUCAGCAAAUGCUCCAUCAUAAUCCUACGUGGGAGAGCCCUAUGAAGCCUGAACAGUUCGGAUAUCCGCCCGAUGAUGUGUUUAGUGAUCUCCCUUCGGAAGACAAUUGUUUUGAUCCUCUACCUCAUAAUUUUACGAACUUAUAACUCUUUUCAUUUUGUGAUUCGAUUAGUUAAUGGUAGCUGACAUUAAUUGGCAUUUAUAAUAAGUUAGUUAGAGUGUACUUUAGUAGAGGUCGGUUUUCUUGAACUCAAUUUUUCUUGCAAUUCUGUGUACUUUGAUUGUUAUUUAUAUGAAUGUCAGCAGCAUGGAUAUUCAAGGAGAGUUGCUAUUUCUAUGGGUGGUAUGCUAAGGCUCCAUUUGCUUUAGCUUUUUGGUACUAAUUCUGUUACCAUUAUCAAAAUAUUUAAAAUAUUUGUAACUCAACUUUGACAGUACAACUGAUUAUUUCUCACAGUUUUCAGUUGUAACGCUCUUUGAACAAGAUUUUCUAAUCACUAAAAUUAUAUACAUAGUUUCCUAGAAUACCAAAUUAUUUACGUGACGAUCAUAUUCUUUGUUUGCCUCAAAGCUUGAGUUGUUUCUUUUAUCUCUCUUAAUUCCAAUUCAAGAGCUGUUUUCAGAAUUUUUUUUCCUUAAAUCCCAAUAGAAAAAAUGUAACGGAACAAUUUGUUAUGAAUGUAAUAAGCCAUAUAUAUCACAAAAAGGAGCAUAAACUGCACGGCUACUAUAUAUUGUUGAAGCUCUAUGAUUUUUAAAUUCUUUAUGAACGAUGUACCUCCGAUGUACUUUUAUUUUUUCUUCUUUUUGUCAUUUUGAGAUAAAUUUUUCUCCUCGAUCUCUUUAGAUGUUCAUAACUAAAUAUUCUUUAAGAUAGAGCGCAAUGUUUUAUCCCUACCACCACAACCCUAUCAUAAAGGAGACUAAAAAUUUGAGUUGGAGAAACAAGAAACUCAAUUCAAUCUAUAGAAAUUAUGAAGCCGUGUGAUAUGAUGAACUAACGGAGCUGCAGAAUGGCCUUUGAAAGUAAUGUUAAAAGCUUAAAACCUUUUUGAGUUUCCUUUAGCAAAUGUCAUAUGCAUUUUCUCUGAUCAAUGCACGAGAAAAUAUAACUUAGAGAUUGUUUAUCAAACGUUAGAAGUUUGUUAUUUGUUUUUGUGAUUUAUGUCUGAUUUUUAGAUAUUUACAUUUGAAUGGAAAAAAUAAAUUUUUAUAUCUUUUAUUUGAAUGGAAAAGGUUUGCAUGAAAAAUAAAUAUUAUAUUCCAAAAAUAUCUGUAUAAAAUAGUUUAUUUCCUCAACUAUAAGAUCUAAUCCUUUUUUGUUUUAAUUUAUGAGGAUAUAAUUAUCAAAGAAUCAAGUUUAAAACCUUUUUUUUUUGUUAUAAAAACAAAUAAGAUGUCAUUUAUACUCAUAUAUUAAAAAAAAAAAAGAAAUCUAAACGUUUCAUUCAAUUUUUUUUUAUUUAAAUCCAUUCAAACUUCUGAAAAAUUCAGAUUCAUUCUAAUUUCAGACUUUAAAAAAAAAUGUUAUCUUACUACAAACUAAAUUCCAAACUUAAUAAAUUAAUAUCAGAUCCCAGCCACAAUUCGCAUAUGAAAUGUUUGAGAACGAAGUUGUGAGAAAAUGCAGUCAGAAUCGACUGCCAUCAAUUAACAAGUUCCUUGGGAGGAAACAUGUUCAAUUUCUUUUUCUUUUUCUUUUUUUCCAAAAUUUUAAUGUGGAAAAUUAAUUCGGAUGCCGGGGUUAGUCCAACCACAGCACUCAUACUGGGCCGUGCGAGUUAAUUUUUGGGCCAAGUUCUUAACAUAUUUACUCAAUAUUUUGGAUGACAAAAUUGCCCAUAAACGCCCUGCAAGGACAUAACUGCAGAAAACAGGCUGGAGUAAAGUAUGCGACUAUGCGGUAACAAAACUUUCGGGACGCCUGCGUUAAUGACUUUUUGUUACUGCCACAAAGCAGUCACAAAAAGGUCAUUUGUGACUGCGGAGUGAUCACAUAAAACUCCUCCUCCUUGUAGUGCCACCUGCAAAAUAAUCCAUACUAGACCUCCUAAUUCUUCAUUUUCAUCCCUAUUAUUAAGUUAACUCGAUUGAAAUAUAUAUUUAUGAAAUUACAUGCACCAACUAUUUAUCGAGAAUUACAUUAAAUUAUGUAUAUAGCUAAUGUAAGAUCAAUUUGGAGAACUAAAAAUAUGUUAAUAAAAAUAGAAAACCGGGUUAUAUCGUUUGUCCCUCUUGUUCAUGUAUCGAUUUUUUUUUUUUAAAUUCCGCGGAACUACUGCAGCUACAGUGCUGGAAAGGAGCAAAUAUGUCGGAUUAUGCUAAGGAUUGCAUUAAAUGAACAAGAAGCUAUCCUAUAUUCUCUCAUUUUGCUAAAAGAUAAGGCAGUGAAAUAACUUCUAUUCUACUUCUACUUUGAAGAAUUUUACUGCUUCUCAAUCAACUACAUCAGCAGAAACUAUCAUAUUUCGCCACAUCAGCUUCAAUGACAGCUACUAAAGCACACAUUCUGGAAUCAUUGAACUCAAUCAUAACCAUCAAAUCAUUGACCACCGAUAGAUUGGCAUCUUAACUGAAUCCAAAGGAUAAAUCGCCUUCCGAAAACCGUUUGAUAAACCGAUCAGUUAGAAAAAGUAUCUACUUUAUUUAAUGUUAUAUAAUCCAAAUAAAUUAGUAUAAAAUAAGCCCCUAAUAGGAUUCUAGGGUUUUGAUUAGAGAAUUAAGAGAGAAUAGAUGAAGAAGUUAAAGAGAAGGGAGAAGAAUUAAUAGGAAUUAAAAUUAAUUUUAUUACUUGCGUCCUAAAAACAUAAUAAGAACCACUUACUUAUAGUAGUUCAAGACAAUCCUAAUUGUAAUUUAAUAAGGACUUUAAUUGAAAUAAGAAAAGCUAAUACUAAUAGGAAAGAAAUUAAAACAAGCAAUUAAAAUAAAAUAAACUAUUAGGGCCCUAACAGCCCCCAUGCAUCUGAUCACAACAAAUAUUCUUGAUGUAUCUGAUCACAACAAAUAUUCUUGUGAGGUCAAUUUUAUAGGGAAAGCAGCGUCUCCUUCAAGUUUCGGUAAAAGUUAUCAAUGCCGGACCAGCAGCAGGGAGAUAAGGACCAAGACCCUAACGGCCAAGACCGCAAUGGUAAAAACCCUAAUGGCCAAGGCCCUAAAGGAAAAAGGCCUAUAGAUCAUACUCGUGAUGCUUCACCACCUGUGCGGAAUCGGAUGAAUGCUGCUAAGGGUCCUGAGUUCGAUGAUAACUUUCCUCCUGGUUACAGGUUCAAGCCUCACGACAUAGAGCUUCUAGUUCAUUACUUGCGGAGGAAGAGAAUGAAUGAACCUUUGCCACCAAAUCGGAUUAAGGAAGUUCACUUGUACAAAUUUAAUCCUGAUACACUUUCAGGUUAAAAAUACCCACCACCCCAUUUCUCUUUUUUGUUUCUUUUGUUUUUUUGCAAUUGCCUUGCUGGUAUUUUUCUUUAAAUUAAGUAAUGCACUUACGCAUAUUAAGUUCUUUCUUUUUCUUGAGUUCAUUUGGUUAUUAAUUAGAGUGUAACUUCUUGAGUUUCUUGAAAUGGUUUAGUUUCUUGAGUUAGAAGUGUUUCCUUUGCGUUCGUUAUACAUAUAGUCUCAUAAUUUGAUUUGUUUUCGUACUUUGGUAAUGCUCUUAGCGCUUUUCUUGAGUUCAUUUGUAAUUGGAGUGGGCAUUUCUUGAGUUUCUUGAAAUAAAAUGGUCUGCUCUUCAGUUUCUUGAGUUAAAAGUUACUUCUUUGCGUUGUUGAAUGCUGAUUUAAUUUUCUACAUAUGGUCUCGUAGUUUGGUGCUUGUAUGUAUCCAAAACAAAGACUAUAAAUAUUUAUGUUGAUAUUAUUCCGUAUUCCAUAUAAUGGAAUCAGGAAGUGUAGAUCUUUUUUUUUUUUUUGGGUGAUUGAUACAAUGAUGAUUCUGUAUUAAUAAUGCACAGAAAAGUAUAAGCCGUUUGGUGAGAAUGAAUGGUACUUUUUUACUCCAAGAGAGAGAAAGUACAAAAACGGGACAAGACCCAAUAGAGCUGCUGGAGAUGGAUUCUGGAAGGCAACUGGAGCUGACAAACCUAUCAAAAACGACGACGUUGUCGUUGGAUUCAAGAAGGCAUUGGUCUUCUACAUGGGAAAACCCCCAAGGGGAGAUAAAACUGAAUGGAUAAUGCAUGAAUUUAGAUUGGAGGGUCCUCCAAGGACCAGAAUCAGUGGAGAUGACAUGAGGGUAACUAAAUUUUGUAGCUUCUUUCUGUGUCAUAUGUGAUGUGUUGCAGCAAUUUUACAAUGUUGGUUUGCUGAUGAGUUUUGCUUUUAUAUAUUAUGUUGAUUGCAGUUAGAUGAUUGGGUACUGUGUAAGAUAUAUAAGAAAAGGGACCAGGAUAGAUCUAAGCUGUCGUCUUCAAGACCUUCAACUUCGCAACGGGAUGAUUCAAUUUCAGGCCAAGAUGAUCCACAAUCAGACACUGAAUUUCAGGAUAAUGGAGCCAUUGAUAUGGGAGUUGAAGACUCUGCUACGCUGCCCAAUGAAACUUUCAUGCCUCACGGUCCUGAAGGUCCUCGAAUCAUUGAUAUGUCUGGUUUCUACAAUCAGGGAGGAUUUCUCAAUUCAUAUGAUGAUACUUUCAUUUAUCAUCAGAGCCACUUUGUUAAUCACAAUGUCCCAUAUUCUCAAGGCAGGGUUCCUGAAAUGCCUAAUUACUAUGUUCCAUAUGCUCAAGGCAGGGUCACUGGAAUGCCUAAUCACAAUGUUCCCUAUUCUCAAGGAAGGCUCCCUCGAUUGGCUAAUCACAAUGUUUCAGAUUCUCAAGGAAGGUUCCCUGGAAUGACAAAUCAAAAUGUUUCAGUUUCAGUUUCUCAGGGGAGGUUCCCUACAAUUGCUCCUUAUUCGUAUAACAAUUCUAUGGGGCAGAGCUCUCCAUGGACUCAACAUAUAAUGAUUCCGACUGCUAAUCAGAAUCCUAAUGAAGCUGCCGAAUCAUCAGCAGCAGCAAGGGGAAGACCUUUCCAGGCAUAUCCUCAUCAACAUAUGUUUGCUACUUCAAAUCGGAAUCCUAAUCAACCUGCAGAAAUAUCAUCAUCAGCAGCAGCAAGACCUUUCCAGACAUAUCCUCAUCAUCAUAUGUUUGCUACUUCUAAUCAAGUGGCAGAAUCAUCAUCAGCUGCAGCAGCAAGACCAUUUCAAGGUUUGGAGAGCGAUAUGAAAUUUGAACAGUUAAAUGAAUGUCCCCCGGAUGAUUUUUUGAAGGACCCUUCUGACGACAAUUGCUUUGAUCCGGAUUAUCAUAACUCCCGGAAAUUCUAACUCUGCCAUUUUUUUAUCCUUCGAUGAUCGAUGAUGACUGGCUUUGACAGAUUUGUUGAUUGAAAACGUAGUCAUAGUUACUACUAACUUUGUGCUUGACGUGAACAUUUCCAUAGAUUUUUCUCUAGGACGAUUAAUGGAUUAUUUUCUUAGAGGACUCUAUCUUCUAUUUUAGUUGUGGACCCAAUUUCUCUCACUUUGCAAGUGCCUCAUGUUGAUAGAUUUUAAAUUUGUCUUGAUUGCCAUGCAAAUUUUUAAAUAAGGUGGAUGUGGCUAUCCUUUUAUAAAUCACACUGAUUCAUAAAUAUUAUUCCCGCUUCCUAUGUCAUUAAAAGUAUAGAUUUUUGGUUUGUUAUAAUAUAUGACAUGGGGAACCCGGCUGAAACUUUUUUGGUUCAAUUACAAUGGUUACGCGUUGCCCAUUUGGUUACUUUAUAUUUUGUUGACAUAGGGUUACAAGCUUCUGGCAGCUGCUGUUUCUUCUGGAUAUAUAUAAUGCUAUUACAUUUUCCAUGGGGUAUGCCCUAUUUUUUCAGCCUUAAAAACUUUCAUGGUCUCCCUCGAUGUUUUCAGAAUCCUAAGAGGGAAGUGGGGAAAUCUAAUGCUACAAUAUAGUAAAUCCAAAACCAUUUCUCUUUGAUCUGGCAACUUCUGGGUGUCCACUAGAACAUACUAGAAAACAAAUUUUCAUGGAAGUGGCAUCGCAUUAUUUGUCGGUGGAUAUGCCAAAUGCUCAGGAGUAGGUGGAAAUAACCUAGGAAGCAAGUAGCAACUAUGCUCAUCUCUCCUGUAAAAUAAUGCCCGCAAGCAAUUUGACUGGCUUAAAGUUAUGACAAAGAUGCCCAUUUUCAAUGUGCACUUGUUUUUGCUAUCCAGCUGUUCAGUUCUCAACUCACCCCACCAACCAACUAUACAUUUCAAUAUUUGGCGAACAUUCGAUGCACUAACCAGCAGCUCCAAUAAAUAGCCUGGAACUCAGUAUUCUCAAGUGUGUCAAACUAAGUUGCAUAACGUUCCCGAAGUCAAUGCCUUGCUAUUCUUAUUCUUCUUAUCCAAUUUUCUUGUUCUCUUUUAUUGUCACAAGCUCUUUCAUUGUUGCAAAUGCUGGUAAUUUUAACAAAGAUGUUGAUAUUACAUGGGGUGAUGGACGUGCCAAGAUUCUCAACAAAGGCAAGCUUCUUACUCUGUCUCUCGACAAAGCAUCUGGCUCUGGCUUCCAGUCUAAGAAUGAAUUUUUCUAUGGAAAAUUUGAUAUGCAGCUCAAGCUUGUUCCCAACAACUCUGCUGGCACUGUCACUGCCUACUAUGUAAGCUCCUUAAUGAAAGAUUCUUUUUCCCUUUCACAUAUAAUUUGUUUGUCAGUCGUCACAUCAUUAUGUUGAUACGUAGACUUGCUAUGGUGCAGCUAAAAUCUCCAGGGGCAUCAUGGGAUGAAAUAGACUUCGAAUUCCUGGGGAAUUUGAGUGGCAACCCUUACAUUGUUCACACAAAUGUCUACACACAAGGAUAAGGUGACAGAGAGCAACAAUUCUACCUCUGGUUUGAUCCCACUGCCGAUUUUCACACUUAUUCAAUCCUCUGGAAUCCAGGUCACAUUGUGUUAGUACAUACACAACCCUGAUGUGAGCGAAAUUCGAAUCCUGGAUUUAAUUUUAUCAAGCUCGCAUUAACUUUUUAUUACAUUUUCUUUUUGUUCAGCUUCUAUAUCGAUGGCAGACCCAUCAGAGAAUUCAAGAAUCUCGAAUCAUUCGGCAUUCCGUAUCCCAAAAAACAAUCAAUGAGAAUGUAUGCUAGCCUGUGGAAUGCCGAUGACUGGGCUACAAGAGGGGGCCUGGCGAAAACAGACUGGUCUCAGGCUCCCUUCACUGCUUCCUUCGGAAACUUCAAUGCAAAAGCUUGUGUUUUGUCCAUCGGAAUAUCUUCUUGCAGCUCGAAUCCCGCAACUAAAAAUACAUGGUUUUCACAGGAGCUCGACUCUUCAAGCCAAAGGAAGCUAAAAUGGGUGCAGCAAAAUUACAUGGUUUACAAUUAUUGCGCAGACACAAGUUGGUUCCCUCAGUGCCUCCCCCAAGAAUGCACCAACAAAAAUUAGGACGAUGAAUCUUUUCUAAUCCAUUCAGUGUUUGGAAAUUCGUAUUUCAAUUAUAUUUUUAUUCUUUCUUCUACUUUUCUCAAUAGGGUUUCUUGAUUGCCAUCAAUCAUAUAACAUAAGAAUAUCGCUUCCCACUUGAUGCAUCUAAAUAAUAGUAAUAAAUGAUGUAGGAUGGUUUCAUCAAAAUUCAUUUUUCUUUUUAUUUUUUCAUUUUGGACUUCGGUUGGCAUCCUCAUCAUUAGAUAAUUAUUCUACAAAGUAAUAUAAUAUAUUAUUUACCCUUAUUAUAUAUGCCAAUUAUCAAGAAGAAAUGGGUAGGUAUUGAUAUUAAGGACUCAUCAGGUCCCUGCUAGGCCCAAAUGAAAUUAGUUCAAGAAUCAUGAACCUUGCAGGCCGAGCUCUAAUGGGCCAUUUAUGAUUUGCAUAAGUAUCCCAAACUUCUUCCAAAGAUAACUGCAAAAAAUUUAACAAAGUUGAUUGUUUUCCUCAAAUCGAACAAUAUUCAGAUUUUGUUCAGUGUUCAAUUACCCUAAGAAUUUUCUUUCCUAACUCAUGCAGAGCAAUCCAUAAUCUCAUUUCGCCAUGGCUUUUAUCCAAGUCACAUGUAGCCGCCCAUGCAUGGGGAGAUUGUAUAUUACAUUGAAAAUUUAUACCGUUAUGAUACUGCUCACAGGAAACAUGUCACCAAGUGUUAAGAAAGACGAGUUAUAUAAUACGUAAUUAACUAAUCACUGAACCCAAAGCAUGCGCCAACAAUGUCCUAAUUUGCCUCAACGACUUGUUUAUUAAGGCAAAGCCGGCCAGGGUCUUUUGAGAAAGCUUCAGCCAAGAUGCUGGAAGAGAGUGCUAGAGAGUGUUAAAGUGUAAUUUCCUUUACAAUAUGUUUGAACUGACACUUUGAAUGUCUUGAAAUUAAUACCAAUUUUUUUUGGGAUACUGCAUGUUAUAAUCAUUCUCAGGUGUGGACGCCGUAUUUUUUUUAAUACGGAUACACUUUUAUACUGUGUUGUUUAAAAGAUUUAGUUUUUAAAUGAACUGUAAAAUCGUAGGGCUUAAGUGAGUUAAAAGUUAAUUUUCUUAAAUUCUACGGUUUUAAAGUAUAUUCGCAUGAAAAUAAAAUAAGGAUGUCCACACUAUAAAAAGACUACUGCAUGUUAUAAGAAAGGUUAAAAAAAUUUUAUGAAUCAAUUUGUGGGUUGCAUGAACAGACUUCGUACUCAACUGUCAUUAUUCUUUGGACCUACAUUCUGGUUUCUCUCCUUUUUUUGUUUAAAUAAAGAAUCAAAUCUCUUUAUCUCGGCUUACUGUUGCAAGAAAAUUAAAAAGUACAAACCAAGAGAACGAAUACAAUACAACAUAAUCUGUUCCCCAACCCUCGAGGUAAUUAAUGGAAAGUGGGCAACAAUGUAUUUGACAGCAUUUCAAUAGAAGGAUGAUAUUCUGGUUUAUUUUCAAGGAUAGAUUGUGUUCGAGUAACAAUGUUUUAGAUGAUAUAUCACCAGCUGGCCUUUUGUAUCGUAGUCAUCUAAUGGACCCCCGUUCCUUGACCUGAUCCUGUUCACAAGUACGACAAUGACUAACCGACCGUCUGUCAAAUGCUUGAAAGAAUUUGACGCGGGAUUGAGCCCCAAGGACUGUGGUGGUGGAAUCGGCAGAAGCAAAAGUACAACCUAAACCCGUAUCUACAUAGAUAUGUGCGAGUACCGGAUAAUCAUGAUCGCAAUUCAAGAUCAAGUGGGUAUGCAUGCAGGCACCGAACCCCAUUUGGAAUUUGGGGCCAUGUCAUAUAAUCUGUCUGCAAAUGAGAAACAGCCAAAUUUGCCUCUCUUUCAAUUCAUGGCACAGCCAGCUGUUGACAACUUUGCACUCUCAGAAACGGCAAACAUGAAACAACCAUCCAAACGCACCCUCUUCUUCACUCUUCUUUUGUCCAUUUCUAUACUCCAAUCCCCUAUAUAAUAUUACAUUACAUCCAUGCAAAACUAGUAAUAAUUUAUGCACUAUUCAGUAUAGCGAGCUCCAGAUCCCAAAAUCCUGAAAGAUAUGGGUUCUGAUUCGUUUGGGGUGAUGAUGUGUACUUUUGUUGGGCGUUUAGCUGCUGUUUCUGCUGGUAAUUUCAAUGAGGAAUUUGAUAUCACAUGGGGAGAUGGUCAUGGGAAAAUAUUCAACAACGGCCAACUGCUUACUCUCAAUCUCGACCAUUACUCUGGCUCAGGCUUCCAGUCCAAGAAACAAUACUUAUUCGGCAAGAUUGAUAUGCAACUCAAGCUUGUCCCUCGCAACUCUGCUGGCACUGUCACUGCUUAUUAUGUACGCUUUUCUUUUUAUCAACACCUGCUGUUUUCAUUGAUUUCUUUGUAAUGAUGCUAAUUAAUAUUAAUUAUGAGAGUCUUUGAUGUUGUAGCUACGCUCACAAGGACCAACAUGGGAUGAGAUAGACUUUGUAUUCUUGGGAAACCUCAGUGGUCAUCCGUACACAGUUCACACAAAUGUGUACAGCCAAGGCAAGGGUGACAGAGAGCAGCAAUUUCAUCUCUGGUUUGACCCCACAGUCAACUUUCACACUUAUUCAGUUCUCUGGAAUCCUCAACGCAUUGUGUAAAGUCCAUUUCUCUCUUAUUAGUAUGUCAUUCGCUUCUACAAUUUUAUUGACUUGUGUUGUUCAAUUAAUUGCAUUAUUUCAGCUUCUCUGUUGAUGGUAUUCCAAUUAGAGAGUUCAGAAACCUGGAGGCUAUAGGCGUUCCAUUACCAAAGAAUCAGCCAAUGAGAAUAUACUCAUCUCUUUGGAAUGCUGAUGACUGGGCUACAAGAGGUGGGCUAAUCAAGACGGAUUGGAGCCAAGCUCCUUUCACUGCUUCUUACAGAAAUUUCAAGGUUGAUGGUAGCCGUGCCUGGCUCUUGCAACAAAUGGAUUCCACAAACCAACGGAGGCUUUACUGGGUGCGGAAGAAUCACAUGAUUUACAAUUACUGCACUGACACCAAGCGAUUUCCCCAGGGCUUUCCCAAAGAAUGCGCUGUCCAUUAAAGCUGGCUGUUCCAAAAACUUUAGCGCCUAGGUACAGGAGCUGUCUUGUAUAACAUAACAUUAAAUGAUAAAAUGUAAGCUAAUUAGUAGUGAGGGAUGCCUUUAGCACUAUCCGAAUUAGGUAGUCGGCUGGUUUUGUAUUUUGAAUAGCUAUUUAUUAACAUAAUAAUAAUAUUUAUUUUAAGAUUCUAAUUUUUUAAAGUUGCGUAUAUAUUGAAGGAAAAUUUAAUUUUUAGGAAUCUCCCUAUUAUUAUUCUCAUUCAUAAUUAUCUCUAUAUUUAAUAAUCUUUACUUUAAAAAUAAUUUUUUUUAUAAAAAUGUGAUAUUUAUGGUAUAAUAAUUAUUCUAAGCCUUUGAAACUUUAUUUGGUUAAUAAUUACAAGAAAAAAAUUCAACGUUUUCCCUUUCCCAAAAAUAACUACUCUAUUAAAAUUAUAAAUGUUAGAUUUUAAAACAUCUAGUAUUCUAUUCAUUCUAUUUCAAACUUCAAAACUAAUAGAUAUUGAAUCAAUGAUACUCACCCAAAAAAAAUUUCUCUCAUAUCUACUCGGAAUAUUAUUCUAAUCUUCCCUAUAAACUUCAUUGCCAGCAUCUAACAUUUGACUAUCAUAUUCAUCUCAACUAAUCAACCUUUUACGUGCUAUCGUUCUAAUUUUCUAUUUUAAUUUAUUAUUAUUAUUUUUUAAAUUUAUUAUAUUUUUUUAUUUGUUGCAUUAAUAUAUGACUUGAAUCAGUUAUGAAGUUUGUGAUUUGUAUAGCAUAAAUGUUGAUAAUUGACAAAUUUAACAAACAUGGUGAGCUUAGUUAAUGUUCUUUUAGAAAUAAAUAUAUAUCUUUUCAUUUAUUAUUAUUAUCUGCUGUACCGUACAUCUCUGGUUUGACCCCACAGUCAACUUUCACACUUAUUCAGUUCUCUGGAAUCCUCAACGCAUUGUGUAAAGUCCAUUUCUCUCUUAUUAGUAUGUCAUUCGCUUCUACAAUUUUAUUGACUUGUGUUGUUCAAUUAAUUGCAUUAUUUCAGCUUCUCUGUUGAUGGUAUUCCAAUUAGAGAGUUCAGAAACCUGGAGGCUAUAGGCGUUCCAUUACCAAAGAAUCAGCCAAUGAGAAUAUACUCAUCUCUUUGGAAUGCUGAUGACUGGGCUACAAGAGGUGGGCUAAUCAAGACGGAUUGGAGCCAAGCUCCUUUCACUGCUUCUUACAGAAAUUUCAAGGUUGAUGGUAGCCGUGCCUGGCUCUUGCAACAAAUGGAUUCCACAAACCAACGGAGGCUUUACUGGGUGCGGAAGAAUCACAUGAUUUACAAUUACUGCACUGACACCAAGCGAUUUCCCCAGGGCUUUCCCAAAGAAUGCGCUGUCCAUUAAAGCUGGCUGUUCCAAAAACUUUAGCGCCUAGGUACAGGAGCUGUCUUGUAUAACAUAACAUUAAAUGAUAAAAUGUAAGCUAAUUAGUAGUGAGGGAUGCCUUUAGCACUAUCCGAAUUAGGUAGUCGGCUGGUUUUGUAUUUUGAAUAGCUAUUUAUUAACAUAAUAAUAAUAUUUAUUUUAAGAUUCUAAUUUUUUAAAGUUGCGUAUAUAUUGAAGGAAAAUUUAAUUUUUAGGAAUCUCCCUAUUAUUAUUCUCAUUCAUAAUUAUCUCUAUAUUUAAUAAUCUUUACUUUAAAAAUAAUUUUUUUUAUAAAAAUGUGAUAUUUAUGGUAUAAUAAUUAUUCUAAGCCUUUGAAACUUUAUUUGGUUAAUAAUUACAAGAAAAAAAUUCAACGUUUUCCCUUUCCCAAAAAUAACUACUCUAUUAAAAUUAUAAAUGUUAGAUUUUAAAACAUCUAGUAUUCUAUUCAUUCUAUUUCAAACUUCAAAACUAAUAGAUAUUGAAUCAAUGAUACUCACCCAAAAAAAAUUUCUCUCAUAUCUACUCGGAAUAUUAUUCUAAUCUUCCCUAUAAACUUCAUUGCCAGCAUCUAACAUUUGACUAUCAUAUUCAUCUCAACUAAUCAACCUUUUACGUGCUAUCGUUCUAAUUUUCUAUUUUAAUUUAUUAUUAUUAUUUUUUAAAUUUAUUAUAUUUUUUUAUUUGUUGCAUUAAUAUAUGACUUGAAUCAGUUAUGAAGUUUGUGAUUUGUAUAGCAUAAAUGUUGAUAAUUGACAAAUUUAACAAACAUGGUGAGCUUAGUUAAUGUUCUUUUAGAAAUAAAUAUAUAUCUUUUCAUUUAUUAUUAUUAUUAUUAUUUGAUCUUUUUGGUAAUUGUUGAAAUUCACCAAAAAUGUAAAAUCUGGGGACGUCGGACGUCCAUACUGUAUGUUCUAUUUACAUCCAAGUCCCUUUAUGUUAUUAUUAUUAUUAUUUGAUUGAGAAAACCAAAGGUUGCAAUUAUUAGGUGUAUUAACCGUUCACGCCCCCAAUCAAGAAGAUGCUCAAUCCCAAAAUGCCAUAAAGCUUGGAUCCUAAAUUUGUGAACAUGCAUGAAUACUACAUGAAAGAAUCAAAGAUGAAUAUAAGAAUUAAAUAACUGGAUACAAUUGUGAUUGUAUUUGUUCUUGAUUUAUCUUUUUAUUGUCAUGUUACUGUUGGGUGUACUAUUUUAACAGGACAUUAAAAAAAAAAUCUCGGAGUGGGUGUCGGUGAAUUUUAAUCGUUUGCUUGCAAGAUGUUUGAUAAAAGUCCCAAAUGAGAGAAGUCGUUUUAAUGGCAAUAGAAUAUUUUGCUAGUCCUUACCCGUUAAGUCAGUCAAAAAUUUAGAGUACCAUUGCAUAUGUGAAGAGGUUUGGUCGUUUCUACGUUAAAACCUAGCCAAAGAAGAACAUAUAGCAAGCAUGCGAAGAGUAGAGAACAUAAUCUCAUGAUAUUUAUAUGCUAAAUUUUGUAUUACAUUGAGAAAGUUGGACUAAUUUGCCAUUUUAUUGACGACAAAAUACAACAAAGAAUCAAAGAAUUGACAAAAAGAAUAAAUUUUUUUGAUGUAUGUGUUGAUUUUGCAAAACUUCUAAGAGGUUCUGCAUUCUGCAGGGAGUCCCUGGGGAAAUCUCUUUGCAUCAGCGCAAUAAUUGUAAAUCAUGUAAUUCUUCUGCACCCAUUUCAGCCUUUCUUGACUUGUUGAAUCAAGCUCUUGUGAGAACCAGGCACUGCUGCUGGAUGGAGAGGAAGGUGAACUUGAAGCGCAAGAAGAUUUUCCAUUAGACCAGACACAGGCAUCAGCGUUGAAGUUUCUGUAGGAAGCCGUGAAGGGAGCAUGCGUCCAAUCUGUCUUGACAAGGCCACCUCUUGUAGCCCAGUCAUCAGCAUUCCAGAGAGAUGAGUAUAUUCUCAUUGGCUGAUUCUUUGGGAAUGCAACUCCAAUUGACUCUGAGUUCUUGAACUCUCUUAUGGGAGUACCAUCCACAGAGAAGCUGAAAAUUAAGUAAACAUUGAUAAGUCUAAGCAGAUUGAAUGACAAGGAAAGAAGAAAUGAUGGAGAUUGAAGGAAAAUAUUGCUUACACAAUGCGCUGAGGAUUCCAGAGGAUAGAAUAGGUGUGAAAGUCAGCAGUGGGGUCAAACCAGAGGUGAAAUUGUUGUUCUUUGUCACCUUUGCCAUUUGUGAAUACAUUGGUAUGCAGAGUGUAAGGGUCACCACUUAAAUUCCCCAAGAACUCGAAGUCUAUCUCAUCCCAUGUUGAUCCUGGCGAUUUUAACUGCGUGAACAAAAAGUCAAAGGUCUAUAUGUCAGAUACAUGAUGAUCAAACAUGCAUAUUGUUUAUUCAUAUAAAGGCAGGAACUUACAUAAUAAGCAGUGACAGUGCCGGCAGAGUUGCCAGGGACUAGUUUGAGUUGCAUAUCAAUCUUGCCGAAUAGAUACUCAUUCUUGGACUGGAAGCCGGAGCCAGAGGCUUUAUCAAGGGAAAGAGUAAGAAGCUGGCCGUUGUUGAGUAUAUUAGCACGCCCGUCUCCCCAAGUGAUAUCAAAAUCUUGGUGGAAGUUACCAGCAGAGGCAACCAUCAAAGAGCCAAGAAGCAGCAGCGACAGAUGCAAUACUGAAGCCAUGGAAGCUUUCGUCUGAGCAACAACAAGAUAGAAGAAUUUGAGUUGGAGAGAAGUUUGAAAUUUUUGAAAGUGAAGCGAUGAGUGUGUUUGGGAUCUCACCAGGGUUUGGUAUUUAUAGCUUGAUUGAGCUGGUGAAGGUGAGUAUAACGAAAGCAGAGGAAAGUAAUGGGAAGCUCCAGUUAGUUCAGCUUCAGCUGUGGCCAGUUGUUUGCGUAAAAUAGCGUGAUGAAAUAAAAACAGCUGUCCGAAUCGCACUAACAGAACACGCUACAACAGGGACUUUUUUUUUUAUUACAAUACGCGGCUUUGCAUUACUUUUGAGACUCAAGUACUUAUUAUGUACUGCUGUUCUGUUCCCACCACCGGCUGACUCUUAUUAGAUUUUUUUUUUUUUCCAACCACCGCCAGUCAAAACACAAAAAAGAAAAUGUAGAAUUCACUGGGUGCUCUUCUCUCUCGAGAUUUUUUUUUUCCAUUUUAUGCUCAAAAGAAAAAGAAAAAAAAUUGUUCAAUGACGUACUUAAUUAACAGAUUUUUUUUUAUAACUAUAUUUAUUAUCAGGAAAUCAUUUGGUUCAAAAGCUUAAGACGUUAAACAGGAGUCCAGAAAAUAGCAUUAAAGUGUUGAAAGACCUGCCCGUGUGAAACAUGGAUCCAGUUUGAAGGUCAUGUCGUUCCAAAAGCGGAGAUAGGAGAUUGAAUUAGAGGUUCUUGAACAUACAAGAAUUGAAACAUAUACGUGUGUUAUUCGCAAAAAAUUGAGCACGCUGAGAUUUGAACAAGAAACCUUUGCUAUGUAAAAACGAAAAUGGCUUGACCCAAGAAAAUUAAAGACAAGUCUUUACUGGAGUCCCUAACAUGAAACAUGGAUCUAACAUCUAAGAAAUAUGUAUCCCUAUAUUUCCGAUACAGAUGCUUCCUAGUAACAUGAAACUGUGAAUUUGUAUCCUAAUUUUAGGUUAAUUGAUAACACAUACUUCCUGGUGAUUUCCUGUGUAAUAAAACGCAUAUGGAAUUGGAAGAUAUGCUUAUUAUUAUUAUUAAGGAAUUUAUAGAUAUUGGUAUUUAAAUCGAACGGACUGAAGAUUUUGCUGUUUUGUAUACUACCACUUAUACUAGAGAAUGUUUUAUUUGUUUAACUGGAAAGGCGGUGGUGGCAUGGCGAGGUUGGCUCGCCUUGAAAUAUCAACACUCGAGAGCUGGCUCGCACCUUGUCCUCCUAUCAAUCUCUCAUUGUUAAUUAACAAGCACAUUCCUCAUCCAAUAACGGUAUGCAUCACUCUUCCUCAUCGACUUGUGUAAGUUCACUCGGUUAGUUUUUUUAAUUUUAUUUUUGCCAUUUUACCCUUUUACUGCCUUAUCAAAUACUAAUCAAUGGCCAAAAUUUCUCCUCGAUUGACACAAAUACGGUAACGCCCACGCGCAGUACAUUUUCUUCUCAUUCUGGUGGAGACUCAUUUGCUCUUUUAUCUUCAUGCUUCCUCGAUAAUUCUUCAUAUUCCAAUCUAGGGUCUAAAAGCUUUAUUAAUGAGUCAUCAUGUCAAUACCUUUAAUUAGGCUUAUAACUAUAUGCUAAAGCUUACGAAGAAUAACAACAAAGAAGAACAAAAUCUUUUGAAAUAGUAAUAUUAUGUUUACUUAGUUAGCAUACUUAAUUUGUAUACCACGCAAGUACGCAUAACAUUAUCCUUUUUUAAAUUCAUUAACCAGUGUUACAUAUGGUAAAAAUUGGACUAACAUGCCAUUUUAUUGAUUACAGAGAAACAAAGAAUCUGACUCCAGAAUCUACAUGAAUUGAAUAACCAUUGAAUGAUUACACGAAAGAAUAAAAUAAUUUUUAAGUGUCUUGUUGAUUAUUUUCUCUAGGAGAUUCUGCAUUCUGCAGGAAGGCCCUGAGGAAAUCUCUUUGUAUCAGUGCAGUAAUUGUAAAUCAUGUAAUUCUUCUGCACCCAUUUCAGCCUACUUUGAUUUGUUGAAUCUAGCUCUUGUGAGAACCAAGCACCGUUGCUGGAUGUAGAGGAAGCAGAAUUUGAAGCGCAAGAAGAUUUUCCAUUAGACCAAACACAAGCUUCAGCAUUAAAGUUUCUGUAGGAAGCAGUGAAAGGAGCAUGCGUCCAAUCUGUCUUCACGAGGCCACCUCUUGUGGCCCAGUCAUCAGCAUUCCAAAGAGAAGAGUAUAUUCUCAUUGGCUGAUUCUUUGGGAAUGGAACGCCAAUUGACUCUGAGUUCUUAAAUUCUCUUAUUGGGGUGCCAUCAACAGAGAAGCUGAAAAUUAAGUAAACAUUGAUAAGUCUAAGCAGAUUGAACGACAAGGAAAAAACAAACGAUGGAGAUUGAAGGAAAAUAUUGCUUACAUAAUGCGCUGAGGAUUCCAGAGGAUAGAAUAGGUGUGAAAGUCAGCAGUGGGGUCAAACCAGAGGUGAAAUUGUUGCUCUCUGUCACCUUUGCCAUUUGUAAAUACAUUGGUAUGAAGAGUGUAAGGGUCACCACUUGAAUUUCCCAGGAAUUCAAAGUCUAUCUCAUCCCAUGUUGAUCCCGGUGAUUUUAGCUGCAUUAGAAAAAAAAAAAAGAAGAUAUUUAUAUGUAUCAUCACAUAUGAUUAUUCAACUACGAGCCCUUUUGCAAACAUAAUACUUGCGUAUGAUUAAGUUGUAUUAAAAGGAGGAACUUAC
rnacentral:lncRNA from 1 species